rnacentral:lncRNA from 1 species
AUUACCACUUGAUGAGAACAAGGGUGGCCCGAUCUUCCAAAAGGUUUUGAUAACUCUCGAUUUGGUGGAGACGAGACACAAUUCGAUCCGGCUUCCGAACAACACGAUCCGAAACCCUGCAAUUUUCUUUUGAUAUUUUUCUUUUAGUUAGAGCACCAAAGGAGUGACCACAGAAAAUUUGAGCUUAAACUAGUGAAAGACAUGGCCUACGAAAAUUUCUAGAAAUUGUGAAAAAUGUGAAAAAAAAACAUCAGGAGGUGAAAACUCAAACUUCAGAGGUGAAUUUGGAGGUUCUAAAGUUUUCAAACUCGCCAAUGGAGGGGACAGAGAGAUCCAAAAUUUUUUUCUAAUCGAUUUUGAUUUAUGGAAUGUUGAAAUCAGAGCUCGUAUGCGAAAGUUAUGGCUAUUUUACGAACGGACUCCAAAUUAGAGGACAAAAUGGUCCGAAAGUGGGAAAAAUUUGCGGCGGUGGCUAGAAAUUGAUGGAAACGGUGGGAGAAAAUACAUGAACUGGACUCUAACAAGACCUAACCGCAAUAAGACCUCGACGAGGACACAAAUUCAACACUGCGGACUCUGAAACUGAAAUAUGCAAAGGCUAUGACGCGGAAGCGUUGUAGGACAAGAAAACGAUAUGACACUGCACUUAUGGGACGAACACAAGAACACUCGAAACUAAGGGUAGAUGUGAACCUAAUGGUAUACCUAAAGCUUUGAUUUCGACAUGAUGAGAACAAGAGUGACCCGAUCUUCUGAAAGUUUCUGGUAACUCUCGAUUUGCUGGAGACGAGACACACAUCGAUCCGGCUUCCGAACAACACGAUCCGAAACCCUGCAAUUUUUAUUAUUUUUUUGAUAUUUUUCUUUUAGUUAGAGCACCAAAGGAGUAACCACAAAAAAUUUGAGCUUAAACCAGUGAAAGACAUGGCCUACGAAAAUUUCUGAAAAUUGUGAAAAAUGUGAAAAAACAUCACGAGGUGAAAACUCAAACUUCAGAGGUGAAUUUGGAGGUCCUAAAAUAUUCAAACCUUCCAAUGGAGGGGACAGACAGAUCCGAAAUUUUUUUCUGAUCGAUUUUGAUAUAUGGAACAUUGAAAUCGGAGCUCGUAUGCGAAAGUUAUGGCUAUUUUACGAACCGACUCCCAAUUAGAGGACAAAAUGGUCCGAAAGUGGGAAAUAUUUGCGGUGGUGGCUAGAAAUUGAUGGAAACGGUGGGGGAAAAUACAUGAACUGGACUCUAACAACACCUAACCAGCAACAAGGCCUCAACAAGAACACAAACUCAACACUGCGGACUCUGCAACUGAAAUAUGCUAAGGCUAUAGCGCGAAAGGGUUGUAGGACACGAAAACGAAAUAGCAACGAACACAAGAACACUCGAAACUAUGGGUAGAUGUGAACCUAACGGUAUACCUAAAGCUUUGAUUACCACUUGAUGAGAACAAGGGUGACCUGAUCUUCCAAAAGGUUCUGCUAUCUCUCGAUUUGGUGCAGACAAGACACAAAUCGAUCCGGCUUCCGAACAACAUGAUAUGAAAACGUGCAACUUUUUUAUUUAUUUUUGAUAUUUUUCUUUUAGUUAGGAUCACCAAAGGAGUAACCACAGAAAAUUUGAGCUUAAACAAGAGAAAGACAUGGCCUGCGGAAUUUUCUGAAGAUUGUGAAAAAUGUGAAAAAAACUUCACGAGGUGAAAACUCAAACUUUGGAGGUAAAUUUUGAGGUUCUAAAAUUUUCAAACCCGCCAAUAGAGGGGACAGACAGAUCCAAAGAAAUGUUUCAGAUAGAUUUUGAUACAUGGAAUGUUGAAAUCGGAGUUCGUAUGCGAAAGUUAUGGCUAUUUUACGAACGGACUACGAAUUAGAGGACAAAACAGUCCGAAAGUGGGAAAAAUUUGCGGCGGUGGCUAGAAAUUGAUGGAAACGGUGGGGAAAAGCACACGAACUGGACUCUAACAAGACCUAACCAGCAACGAGACCUCGACCAGAAUACAAACUCAACACUGCGGACUCUGAAACUGAAAUAUGCAAAGGCUAUGGUGCGGAAGGCUUGUAGGACAGGAAAACGAUAUGGUACUGGACUUAUGGGACGAACACAAGAACACUCAAAACUAAGGGUAGAUGUGAACCUAAUGGUAUACCUAAAGCUUUGAUUACCACUUGAUGAGAACAAGGGUGGGCCGAUCUUCUGAAAGGUUCUAGUAACUCUCGAUUUGGUGGAGACGAGACACAAAUCGAUCCGCCUUCCGAACAACAUGAUAUGAAACCGUGCAACUUUUUUAUUUUUUGUUGAUAUUUUUCUUUUAGUUAGGAGCACCAAAGGAGUAACCACAAAAAAUUUGAGCUUAAACAAGUGAAAGACAUGGCCUGCGGAAUUUUCUAAAGAUUGUGAAAAAUGUGAAAAAAACUUCACGAGGUGAAAACUCAAACUUUGGAGGUAAAAUUUGAGGUUCUAAAAUUUUCAAACAUGCCAAUGGAGGGGACAGACAGAUCCAAAGAAAUGUUUCAGAUAGAUUUUGAUAUAUGGAACGUUGAAAUCGGAGUUCGUAUGGGAAAGUUAUGGCUAUUUUACGAACGGACUACGAAUUAGAGGACAAAAUAGUCCGAAAGUGAGAAAAAUUUGCCGCGAUGGCUAGAAAUUGAUGGAAACGGUGGGUAAAAACUCACGAACUAGACUCUAACAAGACCUAACCAGCAACAAGACCUCGACCAGAACACAAACUCAACAUUGCGGACUCUGAAACUGAAAUAUGCAAAGGCUAUGGCGCGGAAGGGUUGUAGGACAGGAAAACGAUAUGGUACUGGACUUAUGGGACGAACACAAGAACACUCAAAACUAAGGGUAGAUGUGAACCUAAUGGUAUACCUAAAGCUUUGAUUACCACUUGAUGAGAACAAGGGUGGCCCGAUCUUUUGAAAUGUUCUAGUAACUCUCGAUUUGGUGGAGACGAGACACAAAUCGAUCCGGUUUCCGAACAACACGUUCCAAAACCCUGCAAUUUUUUUAUUUUUUUGAUAUUUUUCUUUUAGUUAGGAGCACCAAAGGAGUAACCACAGAAAAAUUGAGCUUAAACAACUGAAAGACAUGGCCUCGGAAUUUUCUGGAAAUUGUGAAAAAUGUGAAAAAAACUUCACGAGGUGAAAACUCAAAUUUCGGAGGUGAAUUUGGAGGUUCUAAAAUUUUGAAACCCACCAAUGAGGGGACAGAUAGAUCUGAAUUUUUUUCAAAUCAAUUUUGAUAUAUGGAAUGUUGAAAUCGGAGUUCAUAUGCGAAAGUUAUGGCUAUUUUACGAACGGACUCCGAAUUAGAGGACAAAACGGUCUGAAAGUGGGAAAAAUUUGCGGCGGUGGCUAGAAUUUUAUGGAAAUGGUGGAGAAAAUUACACGAACUGGACUCUAAGAAGACCUAACCAGCAACAAGACCUCAACCAGGUCACAAACUCAACACUGCGGACUCUUAAACUGAAAUAUGCAAAGGCUAUGACGUGGAAGGGUUGUAGGACACGAAAACGAUAUGGCACUGGACUUAUGGGACGAACGCAAGAACACUCGAAACUAAGGGUAGAUGUGAACCUAACGAUAUACCUAAAGCUUUGAUUACCACUUGAUGAGACAAGGGUGGCCCGAUCUUCCGAAAGGUUCUGGUAACUCUCGAUUUGGUGGAGACGAGACACAAAUCGAUUCGGGUUCCGAACAACAAGAUCCGAAACCCUUCAAUUUUUUUAUUUUUUGAUAUUUUUCUUUCAGUUAGGAGCACCAAACGAGUAACCACAUAAAAUUCGACUUUUAAACAAGUGAAAGACAUGGCUUGUGGAUUUUUCUGAAGAUUGUGAAAAAUGUAGAAAAAACUUCACGGGGUGAAAACUCAAACUUGGAGGUGAAUUUGGAGGUUCUAAAAUUUUCAAACAAACCAAAAGCUAGGACACACAGAUCUGAAAUUUUUGUCUGAUCGAUUUUGAUAUAUGGAACGUUGAAAUCGGAGUUCAUAUGUGAAAGUUAUGGCUAUUUUACGAACAGACUCCGAAUUAGAGGACAAAACGGUCCGAAAGUGGGAAAAAUUUGCGGUGGUGGCUAGAUAUUGAUGGAAACGGUGGGGAAAACACACGAACUGGACUCUAACAAAACCUAACCAGCAACAAGACCUCAACAAGAACACAAACUCAACACUACGCACUCUGAAACUGAAAUAUGCAAAGGCUAUGGCGCGGAAGGGUUGUAAAACUGGAAAACGAUAUGGUACUUUACUUAUGGGACGAACACAAGAACACUCGAAACUAAGGGUAGAUGUGAACCUAAUGGUAUACCUAAAGCUUUGAUUACCACUUGAUGAGAACAAGGGUGGGCCGAUCUUCUGAAAGGUUCUAGUAACUCUCGAUUUGGUGGAGACGAGACACAAAUCGAUCCGGCUUCCGAACAACACGAUUCGAAACCCUGCAAUUUUUUUAUUUUUUUAAUAUUUUUCUUUUAGUUAGGAGCACCAAAGGAGUAACCACAGAAAAUUUGAGCUUAAACAAGUGAAAGACAUGGCUUGGGGAAUUUUCUGAAGAUUGUGAAAAAUGUGAAAAAACUUCACGAGGUGAAAACUCAAAUUUCGGAAGUGAAUUUGGAGGUUCUAAAAUUUUCAAACCCACCAAUGAGGGGACAGAUAGAUCUGAAUUUUUUUCUGAUCGAUUUUGAUAUAUGGAAUGUUGAAAUCGGAGUUCAUAUGCGAAAGUUAUGGCUAUUUUACGAAAGGACUCCGAAUUAGAGGACAAAACGGUCCGAAAGUGGAAAAAAUUUGCGGCGGUAGCUAGAAUUUGAUGGAAACGGUGGGGAAACUUACACGAACUGGACUCUAACAAGACUUAACCAGCAACAAGACGUCAACAAGAACACAAACUCAACACUGCGGACUCUGAAACUGAAAUAUGCAAAGGCUAUGGCGCGAAAGGGUUAUAGGACACGAAAACAAAAUAGCACUGGACUUAUGGUAUGAAUGCAAGAACACUCAAAACUAAGGGUAGAUGUGAACCUAACAGUAUACCUAAUGCUUUUAUUACCACUUUAUGAGAACAAGGGUGACCUGAUCUUCCAAAAGGUUCUGGUAUCUCUCGAUUUGGUGCAGACGAGACACAAAUCGAUCCGGCUUCGGAACCACAUGAUACGAAACCCUGCAAUUUUUUUUAUUUUUUUUGAUAUCUUUAUUUUAGUUAGGAGCACCGUAGGAGUAACCAUAGAGAAUUUGAGAUUAAACAAGUUUAAGACAUGGCCUGCCGAGUUUUUUGAAGAUUGUGAAAAAUGUGAAAAAAAACUUCACGAGGUGAAAACUCAAACUUUGGAGGUGAAUUUUGAGGUUCAAAAAUUUUCAAACCCGCCAAUGGAGGGGACAGACAGAUCCAGAAAAAAUUUUCGGAUCGAUUUUGAUGUAUGGAACGUUGAAAUCGGAGUUCGUAUGCGAAAGUUAUGGCUAUGUUACGAACGGACUACGAAUUAGAGGACAAAACAGUCCGAAAGUGGAAAAAAUUUGCGGUGGUGGCUAGAAAUUGAUGGAAAUGGUAGGGAAAAACACACGAACUGGACUCUAAUAAGACCUAACCAGCAACAAGACCUCAACAAGAACACAAACUCAACACUGCGGACUCUGAAACUGAAAUAUGCAAAGGCUAUGGCGCGAAAGGGUUGUAGGACACGAAAACAAAAAAGCACUGGACUUAUGGUACGAACACAAGAACACUCAAAACUAAGGGUAUAUGUGAACCUAAUGGUAUACCUAAUGCUUUUAUUACCACUUGAUGAGAACAAGUGUGACCUGAUCUUCAAAAUGGUUCUGGUAUCUCUCGAUUUGGUGUACACGAGACACAAAUCGAUCCGGCUUCCGAACAACCUGAUACGAAACCCUGCAAAUUUUUUUAUUUUUUGAUAUUUUCCUUUUAGUUAGGAGCACCGUAGGAGUAACCACAGAAAAUUUGAGCUUAAACAAGUGAAAGACAUGGCCUGCGGAAUUUUUUGAAGAUUGCGAAAAAUGUGAAAAAAACUUCACGAGGUGAAAACUCAAACUUUGGAGGUGAAUUUUGAGGUUCUAAAAUUUUCAAACCCACCAAUGGAGGGGACAGACAGAUCCAAAAAAAAUUUUGUAUCAAUUUUGAUAUAUGGAACGUUGAAAUCGGAGUUCGUAUGCGAAAGUUAUGGCUAUUUUACGAACGGACUACGAAUUAGAGGACAAAACAGUCUGAAAGUGGGAAAAAUUUGCGGCGUUGGCUAGAAAUUGAUGGAAACGGUGGGGAAAAACACACGAACUGGACUCUAACAAAGACCUCGACCAGGACACAAACUCAACACUGCGGACUCUGAAACUGAAAUAUGCAAAGGCUAUGGCGCGGAAGGGUUGUAGGACAGGAAAACGAUAUGGUACUGGACUUAUGGGACGAACACAAGAACACUCGAAACCUUAAAAUCGACAAAGGUGGUAACUCGAAUACUUUGGUCCGGACAACAGCGAUGCGCCCGGAUGUCACGGCCAAGAGGUAUUCACACGGAACUCGAGAAUUCGCCAAGGUUAACUCAUAGUAAAAGGAAAAUAUGCAGGUUGAUGAAGUCGUCGAAAGUAGAUGCUGCAAUAGAUAUAAAAACUUGUGUUUGGUUGAUUGUGUCUAACAUUACAUCGCUACGGGGUCUCAUAUUUAUACCCUGCCCAAAAGGGUUACAAUCAGACAUGACUAGGACUCAAAUUCCAAAUUGAACGGAAUUUGUACACAAAACAAACUCUAAUAACUAUGGAAAGCAUUAAGUUAUCUUCCACAACCGUUCGGUACACCACCAUGAAUCGAUCGACAAUUCCUGCGCCUUUCUUUGUGACCAUCGGCGAACCACCUUUCAUAGCCAUCGGCAACCAUCAGCACCAUUCAUCGGCAUGAAUCACUCACCACUCCUAGACUUGGCCAUAUUCUGUCGUUUUCUCAUCGGCACCAACCCUCAUUGGCAACUCUCCUGUCAACUAGUCACCACUUUUCUGCCUGCCGAUCUACGCCUUAUUAACUCUAGAUACGCAUCCAAAGAUAUGUGUCCAAAAACGGUGUCGACACUGCCAAGCUAGACCUGCUCAUGAAGAAGCUCGAUGAUAAAGCUAGAGAUAAGAAGGAAGUUAUGCACGUCUACGACUCUCACAUGACUUGUGAGGAGUGUGGAGAUACUGGACACUCAGGCAAUCACUGCCCUGAGAUGCUUGAGGAUGUGAACUACAUCAACAACAAUAACAACAACAACUACUACAUCGUCCUCAACAAAAUCAAGGUUGGAAUCAACAGAGGCCUAACUACUCAGGUAAUUAUCAAGGUAACAAUUCUUACAAUAAUAAUAAUAAUUUUCCACCUCUAAGAGAGUUAGUGUCUAAUCAAGGAAAGCUAAUGGAUAACCUAUCUAAGAAAUUGGCAUCUAAUGAUAAAAUGCUAAAAAAAUAAAUAAUAAAAUGAAUAAUUUCUCUACUGCCAUCAAGAAUCAAAUUAGCUUUAAUAAAAUGAUAGAAUCUCAUUAAAUCAAAUAGCUGUUGCUGUUCCUGCUACUAACCCCAGUAUACCAUCACAACCGGAAGGAUUAGAAUCUGCAAAUCUUGUAGACAUGUUUGAUACAGGUAACUACUGGAGUAACCCCAUCGCGGAAGUUACUACUGACUUUCUGCCGGUCAAGAGAGGCGAUCUAGGACGCCCUGUCAUCCCGAUCUCCAUCGGCAUGGUGGACUUCCCAAAAGCACUCUGCGACUUUGGCUCUAGUGUCAACAUUAUGCCCAGGGUACUCUAUGAAAAAUUCUUUACAUAUCCUUUAUUAGAAACAACCAUGUGUUUACAGCUUGCAGAUGGGACAUUAAGUUUCCCAAAGAGAAUAUUGAAGAACCUUUGCGUCCGAGUUGGUACCUUGUACGCCCCAGCAGACUUCGCGGUGAUAGAGACCAGUAAUGAUGAGAGGGCACCCGUCAUCUUAGGGAGGCCAUUCUUGAACACCUCGGGAGCUGUCAUCUACGCUAGUGCUGCCAAGAUCAGUUUUUACAUCAAGGGGAGGAAGGAGACGUUUUCCUUCAAGGACAAGACUGCACAAAUCCCAGAGCAAUCCCGACAUGAACCAAGGAAGAGGACCAACAGGAGGAACAGGAACAAGCAAGUGUGGACCGAGUCAGCUAAGAUGGUCACGAUUUGGUGGAGAUGAGACACAAUUCGAUCCGGCUUCCGAACAACACGAUCUGAAACCCUGCGGAAUUUUCUGAAGAUUGUGAAAAAUGUGAAAAAAACUUGACGAGGUGAAAACUCAAAAUUUGGAGUUGAAUUUGGAGGUUCUAAAAUUUUCAAACCCGCCAAUGGAGAGGACAGACAGAUCCAAAAUUUUUUCUGAUCAAUUUUGAUAUAUGGAACGUUGAAAUCGGAGUUCGUAUGCGAAAGUUAUGGCUAUUUUACGAACGGACUCCAAAUGAUAGGACAAAAUGGACCGAAAGUAGGAAAAACUCGCGGCGGUGGCUAGAAAUUGAAGGAAACGGUGGGGAAAACACACAAACUGGACUCUAACAAGACCUAACCAGCAACAAGACCUCGACCAGGACACAAACUCAACACUGUGGACUGUGAAACUGAAAUAUGCAAAGGCUAUGGCGCGGUAGAGUUGUAGGACAAGAAAACGAUAUGACACUGGACUUAUGGGACAAACACAAGAACACUCAAAAGUAAGGGAAGAUGUGAACCUAAUGGUAUACCUAAAGCUUUGAUUACCACAUGAUGAGAAUAAGGGUGACCCGAUCUUCUGAAAGGUUUUGGUAACUCUCGAUUUGGUGGAGACGAGACACAAAUUGAUACGGCUUCCGAAUAAUAUGAUCCGAAACGCUGCAAAGUUUUUUUAUUUUUUUGAUAUUUUUCUUUUAGUUAGGAGCACUAGAGGAGUAACCACAGAAAAUUUGAGCUUAAACAAGUGAAAGACAUGGCCUGCGGAAUUUUUUGAAGAUUGUGAAAAAUGUGAAAAAAACUUCACGAGGUGAAAACUCAAACUUUGGAGGUGAAUUUUGAGGUUCUAAAAUUUUCAAACCGCCAAUGGAGGGGACAGACAGAUCCAAGAAAAAUUUUUGGAUCAAUUUUGAUAUAUGGAACGUUGAAAUCGGAGUUCGUAUGCGAAAGUUAUGGCUAUUUUACGAACGGACUACGAAUUAUAGGACAAAAUAGUCUGAAAGUGGGAAAAAUUUGCGGUGUUGGCUAGAAAUUGAUGGAAACGGUGGGGAAAAACACACGAACUGGACUCUAACAAGGCCUAACUAGCAACAAGACCUUAACAAGAACACAAACUCAACACUGCAGACUCUGAAACUGAAAUAUGCAAAGGCUAUGGCGCGAAAGGGUUGUAGGACACGAAAAUGAUAUAGCACUGGACUUAUGGUACGAACACAAGAACACUCGAAACUAAGGGUUGAUGUUGUUGACGGUCCUUAAGUACCAAAUAUAAUCAUCAAAUAAAUAAAGAAAAGGAUCCAAAUGCAACCAACACCUAGACUUCGGGUUUUAUCUGACAGAAUUCCACGAGUUUUGGUGUUUGUCUAUUUCUGCAGGGGGUUAUCAGGAAAUACGAAAGAAAGGCCCACAUGUCGGGAUUACAUAGAGAUAUCAAUGCACCGCGUAAUUUUCUACCAUCUAGAAGACUCCAGAAGCCACGGGAAGAAAGCAGAGGCCGAAAGGGGCCAGGCCGAGGGCGCCCGCCCUCUUUCCCUGGGCGCCCGCCCUGUCCUGGACUCCGUUCGGGACUCUCUUCGCACACGAUGUUCCACCGACCUAAAGGAUCAAGGAUAACGUAGUACCACAUCGCCUACCAACCCAAAAACGCAUAGAGGAGGAGGACUAUAUAAGGAGACCACCUUGGCCACUGGAGAAGACAAGAAGUUGUAAUAGAGAUUGAGGGGUGCCCUCGAAGGAAAACCUCUUCUCUAAAUAAUAUUUCUUUUUAGGCUUAGCAACCAAUGUAAGUAGAAAUAGAUCUUCUAGUUUCUACUAGAUUGAGAGAGAUAGAGUGGAGGUGUAGAUCGGAGGAAGGCCGGCCUGUCGAUGUCUACUCCGAGUUGUACCUGCGGGAUCAAGUCUUCUAACCCGAGGCUUGCUCCUAAGAUUCUUCAGUAGUUCGACUUGUAAUUCUAGUAAGUUCUUGUUUUAUUGUUCUUUGGUUUAUGAGUUUACUUUAAUCCUCUUCCGGUUGAGUAUUAGAGUAAUCAUUGCUAGCGUAAACGUGGUGUUUAGGCUAGGGUACUCAUAGAUAUCCCCUGACUAGCUGGACCGUGGUAGUAGCGAGGAACGUGACAUUUCCGAGUUACCUUUGUAUCCCAUAUCUUGUUAGCAGGACGGGUAGGGUUUAUAGGUGCGGGUCGAACAUCCUUUGUGGUGUCUAGAUUCCGUGAGCUUCCCCAAUAGAAUAGUAGAUCAUCCUUACCAAGGUUAGAAUGAGACUACGGUUGCAGUCUUCUCUAUACAUGACUCACAUCGAGAAACAUCCUUUGUAGCCUAAAGGGAUAGUAGCAAUAGAUUUGGUUAGUCAGAUGCACCCUUUCUCCCAGUGGUAAAAAUAUAAAUACGAUACUCUGGAAAACCUCCCGGGUGAAAUGCUCACCGAUAUCCGUGCGCUUGCGGAUCAUUUUCUAAUUGCGUUCCCAAAUAUCAACAAGCAUUUCUGGCGCCGUUGCCGGGGAGAAAGACGGUUUGCUGAGAUAACUUUAAGUCUUGCUAUUAUCUUGUAUUAUACUUUUAUACUUUUAUUCUUUUAUCUUUUUACUUUUAUCUUUAUGGAUAACUUAAAUUCCAUACCUAUUAUUGAAUUCUUUGCACCUUCAGAGACCAGCCAUAGACCAUGGGAGUCAACAAGUCCUGCCCCUAAUUAUGAUCUGUGCCCGGAGUUGAUUGCAAUAGGUCAAAACCAACCCUUCUCUAUAGCCGAGGUCCUAUCUUUUAAUCAAGAAGAUAAUGCACUUUUAGCUACACCUAGGGAAUUUGUUAAUCUUUCUAUAAAUUUUGGUUUAAACCUAGCCCUACAAGACCAUGUUUUUCCUCGAUAUUUUCACAUUGGUCUUAAUCAUAUAACCUUUGGUAGAGUCUUUCUUUCUUUAUCUAUUAGUAAAGGAAGGUAUGUCUUCAUUCGUGGACAUCCUUCUUGUACUAGUCUUCAUAUAAAAAUCUUAGAGAUAGAGAAGGAAUCAUCUUCCAGACGAGGAAAGGAAGUUUCAAUAGCCAAUUUCCAAACAUUUCAAUCCCAAGAUUCGGCUAUCCAACCCAUCCUUGAGCUUAAUAAUUUCUACUAUGCUCUUUCUCUUGAACCUCCUGAUGAUUAUAUGAAUCUCUCUAGACAUCCCAUGCAUAAGAGUCACCAAGACCACAAGCAGGAUCGAGAAGAGCAACAUCAAUGGCUAGAGGGCAUUAAAAAUCCAUGUGCUAUCACCAUUGAAUGGAUGGAUAAAACAAACUUGAGAGACAAUCCUAGAGGAAUUUUAAGCAUUCAUGAAGAAUCAUCCUAGGAGUUUGAGAAUGAGAGAAACAACAGUGAGCAUGGAAGUUAUUUCAUAAAUACUUUACCAAGUCCUUGCUCAUAUAAAACAUCUCCCUAAUCAAUUGGUCUCUCCAUCCUUACCACAUUUGAGAUCUCCAACCCCCUCUUCCUUUCUAUUUAUAAAAACUUUAAAAGGGCUGUUGAUAUUUGGGAACGCAAUAAGGAAUUGAUCCGCAAGCGCACGGAUAUCAGUGAGCACUUCACCCGGGAGGUUAUCCAGAGUAUCGUAUUUAUUUUUUUACCACUAGGAGAAAGAGUGCAUCUGACUAACCGGUCUAUUACUACUAACCUUUAGGCACAAAGAAUGUCUUUCGAUGUGAGUGAUAAAUAGAGAUGACUGCAACCGUAGUCUCCUUCUAACCUUGGUAAGGAUGAUCUACUGUUAUAAUGGGGAGGCUAACAGAAUCUAGACACCACAAAGGAUGUUCAACCCGCACCUAUAAACCCUAUCCUUCCUGCUAACGAGAUGUGAUCUACAAAGGUAGCUCGGAAUUGUCACGUUCCUCACUACUACCACGGUCCAGCUAGUCAGAGAAUAUCUAUGAGUACCCCAGCCUAAACACCACGUUUACGCCAGCAAUGAUUACUCUAAACUCUACACGAAGAGAUUAAAGUAAACUCAUAAACCAUAAGAACAAUAAAACAAGAACUUACUAGAAUUUAGAAGUUGAAUUACUGAAGAAUCCUAGGAGCAAGCUUCGGGUUAGGAGAACUUGAUCCCGCAGGUACAAGCUUGGAGUAGACACCGACAGGCCGGGCUUCCUCCAAUGUACACCUCCACUCUAUCUCUCUCAAUCUAGUAGAAACUAGAAGAUCUAUUUCUACCUUACAUUGGUUGCUAAGCCUAAAAAGAAAUAUUAAUUAGAGAAGAGGUUUUCCUUUGAGGGCACCCCUCAGUCUCUAUGAUAAUUUCUUCAUGUCUUCUCCAGGGGCCAGGGGGGCCUUGCUUAUAUAGUCCUCCCCUUCUAUGCGUUUUUGGGUCGAUAAGCGAGGUGGUACUAUGUUUUUCUUGAUCCAAUAGGUCGGUGGAAUAUCCCGAGUGAAGAGAGUCCUCAUCUGGCUCCAGCAGGGGGCGGGCGCCCUGGGCCUGGCCCCAUUUCGCCUCUGCUUCGGUCUCGUGGCUUCUGGAGUCUUCUAGAUUAUGUAAAAUCGCGCGGUGCAUUGAUAUCUCUAUGUAAUCCCGACAUGUGGGCCUUUCUUCCUUAUUUCCUGAUAACCCCCUGCAGAAAUAGAUAAACAACAAAACUCGUGGAAUUCUGUCAGAUCAAACCCUAAUUCUAGGUGUUGGUUGCAUAUCGGUCCUUUCUCUUGUUUAUUUGAUAAUUAAAAUUGAUACUUAAGAACCGUCAACAAAUACCCCCAUACUUAGGCUUUUACUCGUCCUCAAGAAAAAGGAUGGUUAAGAAUAAUAUCUGGGGUAAACAUUUAAAACAUUCUCUUUAUAAUUGCAGGGUGUCACAAAAUUCCACUGUGUACCAUAGUGAGGGAAGUUUAUGGUUAAGAGUAAAGAUCCUUUCUUCUUAAUCCUGUCACUUGGAGUUUUUGUAUAUUUUUGAAAGCAAGUUAGCAUACCUUUUUAUCCUCAUAGGUUCUCUCAGAUCACUCAUUAUCUUUUAUAUAUCUUACUGAGGCUGUUUUAUUUUGAAAAAAUUCUCAAGCAUACUUACUUUGCAUUUAUUGCCUGAUCAAAACGGGAUCCGAGGAGGGGAAUGUCAUACUCUUAGAUCAAAGACUUUGGAAAUUAAAAUCUUUGUCAACUCUUGCUGGCAUAUUGCUUUUUAGAGGGACCAUGGGUAUCAUCAUCUUUUUUUUUAAGUGGAUACCGAGGUACCCCUAAUUCUACUGCCGGACACUUGUCCAUUUUUUCUGCGAGGUUGUCGAGCAGUUGCUCCUUUUUAUUUCCUCAAAAUAUUUCUAUUUUUUCAUAGCCCAUGCCUCUAAUGCAAUAAUACUUCGGAAGAGUGAAUCUUUCUGAAAUAAUGUCUUGAUCUUGGGAGCAUGAUAAAUCUGUCAACAAGGGUCUAACUCAUUUGAACAAACUCAAUACAGAGCAGAUAGCUUUUAUAAUCAUAAUUAAUAUUUUCAGUUUUUAUCAGGCAUAUAAAACACUGAGGAUGGUAGCUAGAAUUUUAAAGAUUUUGAAAUAAAUUCUCCAAGCAACAAUGAUAUCAAGAAUAAGAAACUCAUACUCUACCAUCACAUAUUCCAUAUUGACUUAAGUAACACAGGGUUUUAAAAUGAUUUUAUAAUAAUUGCAAAUUUUCAGGAAAUAUCAUAAAUUGAGAUUAAUCAUGAUUAGAAAUAUUUUAAUCUUUUUAUCUUAUCAUGUCGGAAACAGUAAUCUGCAUAAUCAAAGAUAUGUGUAAAGUAAAGUGUGCAGAAUGUGUACCUGAAUCGUAGAAUGGUGUAGUCGGAGUGUGUUUAGCAUGUUGAGGGAUCUUCCCCAUACUUGUUUUCUGCUUUCUUGUACAAAAAUAAAGUAGAGACACACAAGACAUAAUAAUAAUAAUAAUAAUAAUAAUAAUAAUAAUAAUAAUAAUAAUACUCUUUAUUGAUCUUGAGGCAUUUAUUACAAAAGACUGAUAGCAAACUGAUGAUAAUAGCAAACUGAUGAUAAUUGCAAACCUAAACCGAAUUUAAAAAUAGAUAACUAAGAUGCAUUGCCUCAAGGUCUAAUCUAGAUAACUUAGCGGCGCUCUAAUUCCUUGAUCUUUUUGUUGGCACUGGCAAGAUCCUGCCUAAGGCCUAGUAUAAUAGUGUUGUGGUUAGAGAGCUGCCUAGUGAGGGAGUUGAUCGAGGACUGGAGGUCUAUGAUAACUCUAUCUAGCCUGCGAACUUCCUCAUCAAUAUCCAUUAUAGUCUUGCGACGCUUGGGAGGUGUUCAAAAGCGUUGAGAGCAUGCUUCGGGGCUGCCUUUGGAGGGAUGAAACGGACUUUGGAUGCUCUAAUCCCUUCAAAGUAAGGCCUUUCCUCCUCUGUAGUGUAGCGUACGCUGCUGAUCUCGCCGCUCCGGUUGGUCUUGACUCCAACGACCCUCUCAUUGGGUCUAGGUGGAAGGAUCCUUGUGCCGGUUGGCACCUUGAUAGUGGUCUUCGUCUUGGAUGAUGAUCCUUUGAGGAGUAGGGGUUGUGGCGGUGCGGUGAGAACUGGUUGAGCAUGGUAAGAUUGGGCGGAGCUGCGUUGGCGUAAUGGCAUGGCUUCUAGCUGUCGCUCUGUGUUGGCCGGGACAAGAGCACGGGCAUCGGGGUCUUCCACAGGCUCCAUGUUGAGGUUGAAGGGGACGACUUCCCAAUCAUCGUGGUACUUCUCGGCCAUUGGAGCAACAAGGAACUAAUAAAAUUUUAAUUGAAGGAGAGCUAAUCAAGCUCUAAUUGAAGGAGAGAAAGCUUGGUGGCUUGGUGUUUGAAAACUGAGGUCAGGGUUCUGUUUAUAUAGGGGUCAAAAGGGUGCCUCUAUGGGUUGUUCGGGUUGCUCCCGUCGACGUACGUGCGAAACUUUCCAUCUGAGGGAUUAUUCGGAUCACCCUAAGUGCAUUUUCCAUAACAGAGAAAGUCGGGACCGAGGGGGAACAGGAGCUGGGCACCCGCCCACUUGAUCUGGGCGCCCGCCCACUUGAUCUGGGCGCCCGCCCUCUCUCUCUGGCCCCUCUGUGGGCCCACUUUUCCGAGCGCGUUUCUAGGUGUGGAAUUAUUUAGAAAAAUAUAUAUAUGACCCAAAAACAUCAGACUAAGAAGGUCGGGCUCUAAUUCUCUAUGGGAAGGUAAAAAUGGACUACGUCUAUUUCUUCAAAUUCCUUAUUGGGCUCUAAAAAUAAUUUAAGACGUUGACCAUUUACCUUGAAUAACGUACCUUCGUCAUUUUGAAGUGUGAUAGCUCCGUGGGAUGAUGAAUUGAUUACUUGAAUGGUCCUUCCCAUUUGCUCCGGAGUUUUCCAUGCCCGAAAAGCUUCACCCUGGAAUUAAAAAGUAAUACCUUAUCUCCGGGUGUGAACUCCUUCUUCUUGAUUCUCUUGUCAUGCCACCUCUUGACUCUUUCUUUGUAGAUCUUUGAAUUGUGAUAUGCUUUCUCUCGCCAUUCUUCCAAUUCUGAUAGUUGCAUUCUUCUAUAAUCUCCAGCAACAUCUAGGUCCAUAUUCCAUCUUUUUAUGGCCCAGUGUGCUUUGAACUCUAGUUCAACAGGUAGAUGGCAAGUCUUCCCGUACACCAAUUGGUAUGGAGACAUUUCGAUUGGGGUCUUGUAUGCUGUCCGGUAUGCCCAGGGUGCAUCAGGUAACUUGUCUUUCCACACCGUUCCCAUUUCAUUUACUGUCUUCUGAAGAAUAUUCUUGAUUUGUUUGUUGGAAAUCUCUGCUUGGCCACUUGUCUGAGGAUGAUAAGGGGUAGCGAUGUUGUGACGGAUUCCAUGUCUUGAUAGAUAUUGCUUGAAGCGUUUGUCGAUGAAGUGUGCUCCUCCAUCACUUAUCACUACUCUGGGAACUCCAAAUCUUGGAAAUAUAAUUUCUUCAAACAUCCUCUUUGAACUGACGUUGUCGGCAUGCUUGCAAGGUAAUGCCUCUACCCACUUGGAGACAUAGUCAACUGCCACCAAGAUGUACUCACACUUCUUUGAUGGAGGAAAUGGACCCAUGUAGUCUAUUCCCCAGACAUCAAAGAGCUCAAUCUGAAGGUUGUUGGUGAGUGGCAUUGCAUCCCUUGUAUUUAUGUUUCCGUGCCUUUGACAUAGCCCACAUCUUCUGAUAUAUUGCCUUGUGUCUUCAUACAUUGUAGGCCAAUAGAAUCCACACUGCCUGAUCUUUGAAUGUGUACGGAAUGCUCCAUAGUGACCUCCAUAUGGUGAUGAAUGACAUCUGUCGAUGAUCUUCCAUCCUUCCUCAGUGGUCACACAUCUCCUGAGUAAGCCAUCAGAGCAUACUCGGAAGAGGUAUGGCUCAUCCCAUAUAUGUGAACGACUUUCUUGAAUAAGCUUCUUCUUGUUUGCUCCUGGUGGUACAUACCCUGAAACCAUAAAAUUAACAAUAUCUGCAUACCAGGGGUCAGACCUGUUAAUCCCGUAGAGCAUGUCGUCCCGAAGUGAAUCAUUGAUGGGGGUUUCCUGUGGACUCUUAAAAUACAUUCUAGACAAGUGAUCAGCAACAGAAUUUUCUACUCCCUUUUUAUCUUUUAUUUCUAAGUCAAAUUCUUGGAGUAAUAAGAUCCAUCUAAUCAGGCGAGGUUUAGCAUCUUUUUUAGUGAGCAAAUAUUUUAGUGCAGCAUGAUCAUUGUAAACAAUUAUUUGAGCUCCAACUAAAUAGGAUCUAAUUUUAUCAAUGGCAAAGACAAUAGCCAGAAGCUCUUUUUCAGUGGUUGCAUAAUUAAGUUGAGCUCCUGUCAAAGUUUUACUGGCAUAAGCAAUUGCAUGAUGCUUCUUAUCUUUAGUUUGUCCCAAUACUGCCCCCACAGCAUAAUCACUAGCAUCACACAUAAUUUCAAAAGGCAACGACCAAUCAGGGGGUUGAAUGAUUGGUGCAGAGAUGAGUGCUUUCUUUAAUAAAUUGAAAGAUGUUAGACAUGCAUCAUCAAAUUCGAAAGGAGCAUCCUUGGCUAGCAAAAGAGUAAGUGGUCUAGCAAUAAAUGAAAAAUCUUUUAUGAAUCUACGAUAAAAACCAGCAUGGCCAAGAAAGCUUCGAAUUCCUUUUUUAUUUACAGGUGGAGGUAGUUGUUCAAUUACUUCAAUUUUAGCUUUGUCUACCUCAAUACCCCUUUCAGACACUAAGUGUCCUAGCACUAUUCCUUCCCUAACCAUAAAAUGACAUUUUUCCCAAUUAAGGAUUAAGUGCUUUUCUUCACAUCUUUGCAAAACCUUGUCUAAGUUUUCAAGACAACUAUCGAAAGUUUUUCCAUAAACAGAGAAAUCAUCCAUGAAAACUUCCAUAAUCUCUUCAAUCAUAUCAGAAAAUAUAGACAUCAUGCAUCUUUGAAAAGAAGCUGGUGCAUUACAUAACCCAAAAGACAUUCUACGGUAAGCAUAAGUUCCAUAAGGGCAUGUAAAAGUGGUUUUGCUUUGAUCAUCAGGAUGGAUCGGGAUUUGGUGAUACCCUGAAUAUCCAUCUAAGAAACAGAAGAACGAAUGGUUUGCUAACUGCUCUAGCAUCUCAUCUAUAAAAGGUAAAGGAAAGUGAUCCUUUCUCGUGGCUUUGUUUAGUUUUCUAUAGUCUAUGCACAUCCGCCAUUCUGUGACGGUGCGUUGCGGAAUUAGCUCGUUCUUUUCAUUCAUAAUAACAGUCAUGCCUCCUUUUUUAGGCACAACUUGCACUGGGCUCACCCACUCACUGUGCGGCACAGGAUAUAUAAUCCCUGCAUGCAGCAACUUUAUAACUUCCUUUGUAACUACCUCUCUCAUAGUGUUGUUAAGUCUACGUUGGGGUUCUCGAGAGGGUGAAACAGAAGGAUCUGUUGGAAUACGAUGGGUACAAAUCAUAGGACUGAUUCCUGUAAGAUCUUGAAGUGAGUAGCCGAAUACUGAGCGAUGUUUCUCAAGAAUGGUCAUUAAUCACAGAGUUUGAUCCUGAGUGAGCUUAUCGCUAAUGAUCACAGGGAACUCUGGAUUAUUGUUUAGGAAAGCAUAGGUAAGACCGGGUGGUAAAGUUUUAAGCUCUAUGGGGGGUCUAGGUGUUUCUGCAAACUCAUCUAAGGGUUCAGGCUCGGAAGGUUCGUCUUCUUCUUCUGUGAAGAAAGGAGUUUCGUCUUCUAAGUCUGGUUCAUCUAAAAGCUCUAGAGAUGCAGCCUUUACUUCCUCCAUAGGAUCAGGCAAAAGAUAUGACUCGGCCUUAUUGUUUAAGGAGUGUGAAAUUAUUAUUGGGAAUUUAAAAGUUUUUCCAAAAGAAAUGUGUAGCUUUCCAGUAUGACCUUCAUAAAGGAGUCUUCUAAAAGGUUGUCCUAUUAACAGGUCGAAGUCCCAUGUAUCAAAGAUAUAGAAGUGCAAAUGAACCAUGGAGCCUUCUACUGUAAGAGGUAGGACAUUAAUAAUUCCAAGACUGGGGACUAAUCGUCCCGAAGAUUCCUUUAUGACCUUUGUUGUGGGGGUUAAGACAAGAUUUUUAAAUAGUUUAAGUGCAAAGGAUUCAGACAUGAUGUUGAUCCCCACAACAGGAUUAUAGAGAGCAUUAAAUCGAUCAGAAUUAUAAGCACAGCGUAUAGUUAUAGAGGGUGUGUCCAAACGGAUCACAUCAGAGGAAAGCUCUGAUUCCUCCAACCAUUCGAUACUCAUUACUGAGAUAAGCUCUCUCAAUUGAUAUUCACUUGGCAAAUAAAUGCUAAACUGGCCGUUUUGGGGUUUGUCAAUAGAAUGGUAGUUUGAAAUAUUUCCAAAAUCGUCAAAAAGAUCAGAUUCUAUAUCCAGCAUGAAGUCCGGUGGUGGAAUUUCUUCCUCUUGUGGCUCAGAACUUGGGAUAGCUAAAGUAGAUGAAGAAUUUGGCAGAGUGUCUACUUCGGCUUCAUAGGUUUCAUCAUGAAGGGUAUUAUCCAUCUCAGCUUCUAGGAUUCUAUCUAGGAUCACUCUAGCUUCAUCAGCAGGGAUGCGAAAGAAAGAACCUCUAGACAUUGUGUGUAGCAUUUGUUUGUGAUUUUUCUGAAGACCUCGAAAAAAGUGAAAUAAAAGAACAGGGUCUUCAAGAUUAAGGUUUGGACCAGAUUCUAAAAGAUCAGAAAAACGUUUCCAGGAUUUUCCCAAAGUUUCAUUAUCUUUUUGUUUAAAAGAUAGGACUUCGAGUCUAAGGUCGGCUAUACGGUCAAGGGAAUAGAAAUCUAGACAAAAGUUGGCUCGUAAAACUCCCCAUUCACCUUGUUGUUGACUUACCUUCUGACUGUACCAUUGUCUAGCUUCUCCCCUUAAGGAAAAAGGAAAAAGCUUCCAACGUAAAGUUUUAUCAGAAAUGCCUUCAAUGCGAAGACAAUCACAUGUUUGCUCAAAAUCUCUAAUAUGAAGGUAAGGGUUUUUGUCUUCCUUUCCCGAAAAAGAUAGGUUUUGAAUCAUGGCAAUCAACCUAGAACUUAACUUAUACUGGGAUGUUUGGAUAGGCUGUGAUGAUUCCCAUGGUAAAAGGUCAGUUGCUAAAGGGAUUGCAGACUCAUGGAUCGAUUUAGAAUUUUGGUUUUCCAUAAGGUAAGAGUAAAGAAAAUAAAUUAAAAAUAUAAAAGAUAAGAAAAGAUAAAAGUAUAGAUACAAGCUAGUAGCAAGACUCAGGUUAUCUCAGCAACCGUCUUUCUCCCCGGCAACGGCGCCAGAAAUGCUUGUUGAUAUUUGGGAACGCAAUAAGGAAUUGAUCCGCAAGCGCACGGAUAUCGGUGAGCACUUCACCUGGGAGGUUAUCCAGAGUAUCGUAUUUAUUUUUUUACCACUAGGAGAAAGAGUGCAUCUGACUAACCAGUCUAUUACUACUAACCUUUAGGCACAAAGAAUGUCUUUCGAUGUGAGUGAUAAAUAGAGAUGACUGCAACCGUAGUCUCCUUCUAACCUUGGUAAGGAUGAUCUACUGUUAUAAUGGGGAGGCUAACGGAAUCUAGACACCACAAAGGAUGUUCAACCCGCACCUAUAAACCCUAUCCUUCCUGCUAACGAGAUGUGAUCUACAAAGGUAGCUCGGAAUUGUCACGUUCCUCACUACUACCAAUAGGUCGGUGGAAUAUCCCGAGCGAAGAGAGUCCUGAUCUGCCUCCAGCAGGGGGCGGGCGCCCUGGGCCUGGCCCCGUUUCGCCUCCGCUUCGGUCUCGUGUCUUCUGGAGUCUUCUAGAUGAUGUAAAAUCGCGCGGUGCGUUGAUAACUCUAUGUAAUCCCGACAUGUGGGCCUUUCUUCCUUAUUUCCUGAUAACCCCCUGCAGAAAUAGAUAAACAACAAAACUCGUGGAAUUCUGUCAGAUCAAACCCUAAUUCUAGGUGUUGGUUGCAUAUCGGUCCUUUCUCUUGUUUAUUUGAUAAUUAAAAUUGAUACUUAAGAACCGUAAACAAGGGCGGUUGUCAAUGUAUAUGUCUAUAAUAAAUAUUGCAGAUCUUGUUGAUCUUGAUAUAGGUCAGCGUUAGAGGGGAAACCACUUCGCUGACAUAAAUUGAUGGUUUCCCAAGGAUAGGCUUAAUGUCCUAAAACAAGGACUUAUCAGAUCAUAACAUGAAUUUGCAACAUUGCCUUGUGUAUUGAGCAUAUUGAGAUAAUUGUAGAAAUAUUCCUUCGGGUAUUCUUGCCACUAACCUUUCCAGGAUUGGAGCAAGAAGAUCGGAUGAAUGACAAGCACAAGGUAUGUCCAACCAACCAUCAUACAACAUUGAAUUAAAUUCAUCCAAACUUGAAUUUCGCAAAAUUCAAGCUUGGGGGAGUAUUUUACAUAAAAACAUCCUUUGCCAUGUUGCUAUGUUGGUUGUCCCUACCUUUGAGACAAGCUCAAUUUGUUAAGUACUAAUCACACUACUUCAUCUCCACUUCAGUAGAUCUCUAUAAUUCUGUCAUGCUACCUUUAUCUAUUUACUAGCAAGUGUUGGUUUGGAAGUACUCGACAUACUUCCAUUGGCAUUUAAAUUAAGCAUGGUGCUUAGGUUAAAUAGCCUUCCUUAAUCUAAAUAGACAUGGAGUCUAGUUUGGUUACUGAACUAAAAACUGCUUGAGUAGAUAUUGGUAUAUUUUGUGGGACUAACCCCUGCAGGAAAACUUUCAAUAUCAACCUGGAAAGUCCUCAGAUAAACUCACAUUGGAGAUGAAGAAAGUGACACAUAAAGUUUAACAAUUUGCACAAGAAAGACGUAGCUCAUAAGUGAUGAUUCAUGGAGGGUGCCACAAACACGAUGCACAACCGCUAAGAAAGGAAAGCUUCCACAAGGUGAUACUAUGCCAUCACUCUUCAAGUAAGGUAACACCUUAAGGUACUUGACUAUCACUUUUAUAAGUUUCUCCUUGGUUCUGGCAUUCACAUAAAAUAAAGAGACAAACAUGUAUGAUCUAUAACUCCAAAUUAACCAACUCAAUUAAUUCAACAUGUUGAGUCCUUUAAUCUUUGUUCUUAGUACUACCUUCGUGAUCCCACACUCCUAAUCAUAUAAGCUAAAGUAUUGCACAUUCAAUCUUUGGAAGAUAUAAACAAAACAUAAAUAUAGAUAGAUUAUCUUUCCAUUAGGUUGAGCCAUCUGAUCUGACAAAUGCUACACUCAUGAUCCAUCAACUUUUUCUUGCUCACUAUGCUUAAGGUUAGAGAAGAACAAAUACACUUUUGGUUCUGUUGGUGUUUUCCACCAACAGGGCCCAUUCACUUGAUCUCUGCCUUGUCUCUAUGAGCAGGUACACUUCAAGCAAAACAUGGAGGAGUUUUACAACUCCCAGAUUUCGCCAAGUGAAGGAACUGGAUCUAUGAGCACAAACACACUGAGCAGGAUAUUGCCAACACCACACUUCGAACUGCUGGGCAAUCAAAGAAUAUAGGUGACACCGUAUCAAGAAGUGUAGACGUCAAGGUCCACACCUAAUCAAAUGAUGCACCUAAAGGAUGGAGACAGUGAGAAGUCUUGUCCAGAAGAUUUAAAACUUUGGAUCCUUGUCGGAGGAGGUCAAGAUCGUCGACUCAAGUCACCUUUCUUGAUCAAGAAGGACGACCCUGGUGUUCCAAGCAUUGAGUGCACAAUCAAUGGAUACUCUUUUCAGAAGGCACUCUACGACACCGGAUCUGAUGAAAACACAAUGGUCGCAGUCACUUAUCAGCUCCUGCAUGGAACCAUGCCCCUGCAACCAAUAAACAUUCAGCUCCAGAUGAUUUUCAGGACAUUGACAUGGGAGAAGACAAGUAUGAUCCAUCCACCAUCAUUGAAAGACCGCUCCGCAACACUAUCAAGGCCAUCAUCUAUAUUGGAACCGGAGAAGUCCACAUGCACUUCCGAAGAAGGCGACGUAACCGCAACCAGAGGAGGCAAAUCAUCAAGGACGGAUAGGUAGACUACGAAGGAGAAGUGGUAAGAUCUGAAGACAUAUAGCUUGAACAGAACUGUCCUGAGGACUCCGUAGCACCGAGUCAGGUGUGGAGAGAGAAGAUUGUUACACACGAAGAGGAGGCGCCGCCGGAACCACCGACUACGCCAUCCAGCGAAUCCUAGGACGACUGAGAAAACGGAGAGUCCCGUUCGGAGGACUUAAAAAUACCGAACGCCUUGUCAAGAGGUAAACUUGGUAGUUAUCCUAUUCCAUUCAAUAGUUUGCUUAGUUAAUCAGGUUCAUGCUUUCUUGAAAAGAAAAUAAAAAUGUUAAAAAAUAGUAGGCCCCAUGUGAGGAUGCUCAUGGCAUAAAACCCAUAAGUACAUUCACUGUGGUGGCAUAAAAAAAUAAAUAAAUUUUCAUCUUACAAUAAAAAUAUAAAAAUAAUAAGUGCAUGAUCCUGCUAAAUAAGUAACAUUUAUUGAGGAAGCUCAAUAUGAUAAAGGCAAAGAGAUUUUAUGCUAACACUUAACCAGUUCCACAAAGCAUUGUUGUCUAUUUGAGCUCCACAGAAUUCAAGGAUCAAAGAAGACUAGCAGACGGAGGACAUCCUAAUCGCUGUCAGGGUGCUGCCGACUUUCAAAUACACCUCCGCCACCUGCUAGAUACAUCAGAAGAAAUUACGUCAAAAUCCAGCUUGGGGGUGGGCACCCCCAUUUAUCCAGCUAAGUGUUUCUACUCACGUUUAUACUUUACUCAAAUAAUAAAAGAUGUAGAAUCAUGAAAACCCAAAUAAAGAUUUUGUGCUUUUAUAUAUAUAUCUUUGCUUAGUUUGAUAAAUAAAUAAAUGAAUAAAGUUUGCUAUGAACCCUCAUGAUAAACUCUCACAUGGAAAUGAUGAAUAGUUGCUCUGCCAUGACUAGUUCUUAAAAUUGAAAUCUCUCUCAAGUUUAGGUAUAACUAUUAUGAAGUAAGAUUUGCUCUAAACCUGAACUUGUGGGAAGAGUACUUGAUCUAAAGUCUAAGUUGUUAACGGAUAUGAUAUGGGAAGGUUGAGCUGUUGUUUAUCUGUUCCUAGAGAUGCUAGAAUUCUAGAGAAUUUUAUCUUUGAAAAAUCUUUAAAAUAUCACAUGAUGAGUUCCUGUAUGAUGAGAGUUUAAAAUCCUACCACAGCCAUAUAUACAUGCUUAUUAGACUUUGAGCCACACAUUUACUUUUUACUGCUUAUGAGCAUUGAGUGUGGUCAAGCUGUGUAGACCCUUAGGAGCUUGUCAUGCAGUUAAAAUCAAGAUUCACUUGCACGUUCACUCAUACAUGCUACUUCUACUCAGGAAGUACGCAUCCACAUACAUCCACUCAUUUCCAUCUCCAGAUUCACCCAAAAGUAUUCUACUCCUAAUCCGGGAGAGAAUAGCCAAAAACAUUUUCCUAUCCCUGUUAUUCCCUGUGAAAUAAAUGCUCCAGUUAUUUUGGUUACUACCACUUGCUACAUAAUUUCAAGAGAAGAGUGCUCUAAAAAAAGAAAAAAAAUACGAGGAAAUAAAAAGGGGCAACUGCUCGGAACCUCGAAGAAAAGAAAAAGUGAGACGAGAGGUAAAAAUGGACAAGUGUCCGACAGUAGAAUUAGGGGUACAAGAUACCCACCUGAGAGGAAAGAAAAAGAAAAUAUAGAGCAUCUCAUUCUCCUCAAAAAGCUUCAAAGUGCAAGAAAGGUAUGUAUCCCCUUAAAAGAGCAAAAGUAGAAUUAGAAUUUCACCAUUGUUAUCACCAUCAUCACCAUACACCAUUCAUUCGCCACACAUGCACAUCUUGAUUUGACUUAUUGAUUUGUUUCUCUGGAUCCAUGGUUUGACUAUGCAAUAAAUGUCUUGUAAGUAUGUACUAGCUGUCUCCCACCUAUGAGCUCCAGAUAUCAAAACUUUAUUAGAGUAGGGUGAGAGAGAAGGCAAUAUCACUAUGCAUUAUACCAAAAAUACGACAUACUUUGAGAGAAGGCAUAUACCAUUACUGCCUUGGUAAGGAUCUAGAAAUACCACAAAAGAGAGAUUUGAGAGAAUCAUAUAAGGAAUCUCUGAGUUUUAUUUGAAAAUCUGCAAAAACUCCAGAGCUAUAGCUGAUCAAGAAUAAGAGACAUGGCGCUUGACUUGACCGUUCUAUCUUUUAACUGCUCACGACACAAGUGAUGGUUACAAGCCCCAUGGUGAAAGGUAAAAUGAGUAAGUUUUAAGUCUUAACAGUUUAUUCUAACUCAGUGAUGAGGUCUUGCUUGAAUGGGUGUGUAUUUUUAAGGCAUAAAACCACUGUAGGAACUCUUAAGUUCAUCCUUGCUCAGGGACGAGCAAGAGGUAAGCUUGGGGGAGUUGUUGACGGUCCUUAAGUACCAAAUAUAAUCAUCAAAUAAAUAAAGAAAAGGAUCCAAAUGCAACCAACACCUAGACUUAGGGUUUUAUCUGACAGAAUUCCACGAGUUUUGGUGUUUGUCUAUUUCUGUAGGGGGUUAUCAGGAAAUACGAAAGAAAGGCCCACAUGUCAGGAUUACAUAGAGAUAUCAACGCACCGCGUAAUUUUCUACCAUCUAGAGACUCCAGAAGCUACGGGAAGAAAGCAGAGGCCGAAAGGGGCCAGGCCCAGGGCGCCCGCCCUCUUUCCCUGGGCGCCUGCCCUGUCCUAGACUCCGUUCGGGACUCUCUUCGCACACGAUGUUCCACCGACCUAAAGGAUCAAGGAUAACGUAGUACCACAUCGCCUACCGACCCAAAAAUGCAUAGAGGAGGAGGACUAUAUAAGGAGACCCCCCUGGCCCCUGGAGAAGACAAGAAGUUAUCAUAGAGAUUGAGGGGUGCCCUCGAAGGAAAACCUCUUCUCUAAAUAAUAUUUCAUUUUAGGCUUAGCAACCAAUGUAAGUAGAAAUAGAUCUUCUAGUUUCUACUAGAUUGAGAGAGAUAGAGUGGAGGUGUAGAUCGGAGGAAGAGCGGCCUUGUCGGUGUCUACUCCGAGUUGUACCUGCGGGAUCAAGUCUUCUAACCCGAGGCUUGCUCCUAAGAUUCUUCAGUAAUUCGACUUCUAAUUCUAGUAAGUUCUUGUUUUAUUGUUCUUUGGUUUAUGAGUUUACUUUAAUCCUCUUCUGGUUGAGUAUUAGAGUAAUCAUUGCUAGCGUAAACGUGGUGUUUAGGCUAGGAUACUCAUAGAUAUCCCCUGACUAGCUGGACCGUGGUAGUAGCGUGGAACGUGACAUUUCCGAGUUACCUUUGUAUCCCAUAUCUUGUUAGCAGGACGGGUAGGGUUUAUAGGUGCGGGUCGAACAUCCUUUGUGGUGUCUAGAUUCCGUAAGCUUCCCUAAUAGAAUAGUAGAUCAUCCUUACCAAGGUUAGAACGAGACCACGGUUGCAGUCUUCUCUAUACAUCACUCACAUCAAGAAAUAUUCUUUGUAGCCUAAAGGGAUACUAGCAAUAGAUUUGGUUAGUCACAUGCACCCUUUCUCCCAGUGGUAAAAAUAUAAAUAUGAUACUCUGGAAAACCUCCCGGGUGAAAUGCUCACCGAUAUCCGUGCGCUUGCGGAUCAUUUUCUAAUUGCGUUACCAAAUAUCAACAGAUGUGAACCUAACGGUAUACCUAAAGCUUUGAUUACCACUUGAUGAGAACAAGGGUGACCUGAUCCUCCAAAAGGUUCUCGUAUCUCUCGAUUUGGUGCAGACGAGACACAAAUCGAUACGGCCUCCGAACAACAUGAUACGAAACCGUGGAAUUUUUUUUAUUUUUUUUUUGAUAUUUUUCUUUUAGUUAGGAGCACCAAAGAAGUAACCACAGAAAAUUUGAGCUUAAACAAGUGAAAGACAUGGCCUGCGGAAUUUUCGAAAGAUUGUGAAAAAUGUGAAAAAACUUCACGAGGCGAAAACUCAAACUUUGGAGGUGAAUUUUGUGGUUCUAAAAUUUUCAAACCCGCCAAUGGAGGGGACAGACAGAUCCAAAAAAAUUUUCGGAUCGAUUUUGAUAUAUGGAACGUUGAAAUCGGAGUUUGUAUGCGACAGUUAUGGCUAUUUUACGAACGGACUACGAAUUAGAGGACAAAACAGUCCGAAAGUGGGAAAAAUUUGCGGCGGUGGUUAGAAAUUGAUGGAAACGGUGGGGAAAAACACACAAAUUGGACUCUAACAAGACCUAACCAGCAACAAGACCUCGACCAGGACACAAACUCAACACUGCGGACUCUGAAACUGAAAUAUGCAAAGGCUAUGGCGCGUAAGGGUUGUAGGACAGGAAAACGAUAUGGUACUGGACUUAUGGGAUGAACACAAGAACACUCAAAACUAAGGGUAGAUAUGAACCUAAGGGUAUACCUAAAGCUUUGAUUACCACUUGAUGAGAAGAAGGGUGGUCCGAUCUUCUGAAAGGUUCUAGUAACUCUCGAUUUGGUGGAGACGAGACACAAAUCGAUCCGGCUUCCGAACAACACGAUUCGAAACCCUGCAAAUUUUUUCUACUUUUUUGAUGUUUUUCUUUUAGUUAGGAGCACCAAAGGAGUAACCACAAAAAAUUUGAGCUUAAACAAGUAAAAGACAUGGCCUGCAGAAUUUUCUAAAGAUUGUGAAAAAUGUGAAAAAACAUCACGAGGUGAAAACUCAAAUUUGGAGGUGAAUUUUGAGGUUCUAAAAUUUUCAAACCCGCCAAUGGAGGGGACAGACAGAUCCAAAAAAAAAUUUUGAAUUGACUUUGAUAUAUGGAAUGUUGAAAUCGGAGUUAGUAUGCGAAAGUUAUGGCUAUUUUACGAACGGACUACGAAUUAGAGGACAAAACAGUCCGAAAGUGGAAAAAAUUUGCAGCGGUGGCUAUAAAUUGAUGGAAACGGUGGGGAAAAACACACGAACUGGACUCCAACAAGACCUAACCAGCAACAAGACCUCGAAAAAAACUUCACGAGGUAAAAACUCAAAAUUUGGAGGUUCCAAAAUUUUCAAACCCGCCAAAAUCUAGGACACACAGAUCCGAUAUUUUUUUCUGAUCGAUUUUGAUAUAUGGAACUUUGAAAUCGGAGUUCGUAUGUGAAAGUUAUUUCUAAUUUACGAACGGACUCCGAAUUAAAAGACAAAACGGUCUGAAAGUGGGAAAAAUUUGCGGUGGUGGCUAGAAAUUGAUGGAAACGGUGGGGAAAACACACGAAUUGGACUCUAACAACACCUAACCAGCAACAAGACCUCAACAAGAACACAAACUCAACACUGCGGACUCUGAAACUGAAAUAUGCAAAGACUAUAGCGCGAAAGGGUUGUAGGACACGAAAACGAAAUAGCACUGGACUUAUGGUACGAACACAAGAACACUCGAAACUAAGGGUAGAUAUGAACUUAACGGUAUACCUAAAGCUUCGAUUACCACUUGAUGAGAACAAGGGUGACCAGAUCUUCCAAAAGGUUCUGGUAUCUCUCGAUUUGGUGCAGACAAGACACAAAUCGAUCCGGUUUCCGAACAACAUGAUAUGAAACCGUGCAACUUUUUUAUUUUUUUUUGAUAUUUUUCUUUUAGUUAGGAGCACCAAAGGAGUAACCAUAGAAAAUUUGAGCUUAAACAAGUGAAAGACAUGGCCUGCGGAAUUUUCUAAAGAUUGUGAAAAUGUGAAAAAAACUUCACGAGGUGAAAACUCAAACUUUGGAGGUAAAUUUUGAGGUUCUAAAAUUUUCAAACCCACCAAUGGAGGGGACAGACAGAUCCAAAGAAAUGUUUCAGACAGAGUUUGAUAUAUGAAACGUUGAAAUCGGAGUUCGUAUGUGAAAGUUAUGGCUAUUUUACGAACGGACUACGAAUUAGACGACAAAACAGUCUGAAAGUGGGAAAAAUCUGCGGCGUCGGCUAGAAAUUGAAGGAAAUAGUGGGGAAAAGCACACGAACUGGACUCUAACAAGACCUAACCAGCAACAAGACCUCGACCAGGACACAAACUCAACACUGCGGACUCUGAAACUGAAAUAUGCAAAGGCUAUGGCGCGCAAGGCUUGUAGGACAGGAAAACGAUAUGGUACUGGACUUAUGGGAUGAACACAAGAACACUCAAAACUAAGGGUAGAUGUGAACCUAAUGGUAUACCUAAAGCUUUGAUUACCACUUGAUGAGAACAAGGGUGGGCCGAUCUUCUGAAAGGUUCUAGUAACUCUCGAUUUGGUGGAGAUGAGACACAAAUCGAUCCGGCUUUCGAACAACAAGAUCCGAAACCCUGCAAUUUUUUUUAUUGUUUUGAUAUUUUUAUUUUAGUUAGGAGCACCAAAGGAGUAACCACAGAAAAAUUGAGCUUAAACAAGUGAAAGACAUGGCCUGCGGAAUUUUCUGGAAAUUGUGAAAAAUGUGAAAAAAACUUCACGAGGUGAAAACUCAAAUUUCGGAGGUUAAUUUGGAGGUUCUAAAAUUUUCAAACCCACCAAUGAGGGGACAGACAGUUUUUUUUGAUCAAUUUUGAUAUAUGGAAUGUUGAAAUCGGAGUUCAUAUGCGAAAGUUAUGGCUAUUUUACGAACGGCCUCAGAAUUAGAGGACAAAACGGUCCGAAAGUGGGAAAAAUUUGCGGCGGUGGCUAGAAUUUGAUGGAAAUGGUGGGAAAAAAUACAUGAACUGGACUCAAACAAGACCUAACCAGCAACAAGACCUCGACCAGGACACAAACUCAACACUGCGGACUCUGAAACUAAAAUAUGCAAAGGCUGUGGCGUGGAAGGGUUGUAGGACACGAAAACGAUAUGGCACUGGACUUAUGGGACGAACACAAGAACACUCAAAACUAAGGGUAGAUGUGAACCUAAUAAUAUACCUAAAGCUUUCAUUACCACUUGAUGAGACAAGGGUGGCCCGAUCUUCCGAAAGGUUCUGGUAACUCUCGAUUUGGUGGAGAUGAUACACAAAUCGAUCCGGCUUCCGAACAACACGAUCCGAAACCCUUCAAAUAUUAUUAUUUUUUUUGAUAUUUUCCUUUUAUUUAGGAGCACCAAACGAGUAAUCACAUAAAAUUUGACUUUUAAACAAGUGAAAGACAUGGCCUGUGGAUUUUUCUGAAGAUUGUGAAAAAUGUGAAAAAAACUUAACUGGGUGAAAACUCAAAAUUUGGUGGUGAAUUUAAAGGUUCUAAAUUUUUCAAACCCACCAAAAGCUAGGACACACAUAUCCGAAAUUUUUGUCUAAUUGAUUUUGAUAUAUGGAACGUUGAAAUCAGAGUUCGUAUGUGAAAGUUAUGGCUAUUUUACGAAUGGACUCCGAAUUAGAGGACAAAACGGUCUGAAAGUGGGAAAAAUUUGCGGUGGUGGCUAGAAAUUGAUGGAAACGGUAGGGAAAAAACACACGAACUGGACUCUAACAAGACCUAACCAGCAACAAGACCUUAACAAGAACACAAACUCAACACUGCGGACUCUGAAACUGAAAUAUGCAAAGGCUAUGGCGCGAAAGGGUUGUAGGACAGGAAAACGAUAUGGUACGUUACUUAUGGGACGAACACAAGAACACUCAAAACUAAGGGUAGAUGUGAACCUAAUGGUAUACAUAAAGCUUUAAUUACCACUUGAUGAGAACAAGGGUGGGCCGAUCUUUUGAAAGGUUCUAGUAACUCUCGAUUUGGUGGAGACGAGACACAAAUCGAUACGGCUUCCGAACAACACGAUCCGAAACCCUGCAAUUGUUUUUAUUUUUUUUGAUAUUUUUCUUUUAGUUAGGAGCACCAAAGGAGUAACCACAGAAAAAUUGAGCUUAAACAAGUGAAAGACAUGGCCUGCGGAAUUUUCUGGAAAUUGUGAAAAAUGUGAAAAAAACUUCACGAGGUGAAAACUCAAAUUUCGGAGGUGAAUUUGGAGGUUCUAAAAUUUUCAAACCACCGUUGAGGGGACAGACAGCUCUGAAUUUCUUUCUGAUCAAUUUUGAUAUAUGGAAUGUUGAAAUCGGAGUUCAUAUGCGAAAGUUAUGGCUAUUUUACGAACGGCCUCCGAAUUAGAGGACAAAACAGUCCGAAAGUGGGAAAAAUUUGCGGCGGUGGCUAGAAUUUGAUGGAAACGGUGGGGAAAAAUACACGAACUGGACUCUAACAAGACCUAACCAGCAACAAGACCUCGACCAGGACACAAACACAGCACUGCGGACUCUGAAACUGAAAUAUGCAAAGGCUAUGGCGUGGAAGGGUUGUAGCACACGAAAACGAUAUGGCACUGGACUUAUGGGAUGAACACAAGAACACUCGAAACUAAGGGUAGAUGUGAAGCUAAUGCUAUACCUAAAGCUUUCGUUACCACUUGAUGAUACAAGGGUGGCCCGAUCUUCCGAAAGGUUCUGGUAACUCUCGAUUUGGUGGAGAUGAGACACAAAUCGAUCUGGCUUCCGAACAACACGAUACGAAACCCUUCAAAUAUUUUUAUUUUUUUUUGAUUUUUUCCGUUCAAUUAGGAGCACCAAACGAGUAACCACAUAAAAUUUGACUUUUAAACAAGUGAAAGACAUGACCUGUGGAUUUUUCUGAAGAUUGUGAAAAAUAUGAAAAAAACUUCACGGGGUGAAAACUCAAACUUUGGAGGUAAAUUUAGAGGUUCUAAAAUUUUCAAACCCACCAAAACCUAGGACACACAGAUCCGAAAUUUUUGUCUGAUCGAUUUUGAUAUAUGGAACGUUGAAAUCGGAGUUCGUAUGUGAAAGUUAUGGCUAUUUUACGAACGGACUCCGAAUUAGAGGACAAAACAGUCUGAAAGUGGGAAAAAUUUGCGGUGGUGGCUAGAAAUUGAUGGAAACGGUGGGGAAAAACACACGAACUGGACUCUAAGAAGACCUAACCAGCAACAAGAACACAAACUCAACACUGCGAACUCUGAAACUGAAAUAUGCAAAGGCUAUGGCGCGGAAGGGUUGUAGGACAGGAAAACAAUAUGGUACUUUACUUAUGGGACGAACACAAGAACACUCAAAACUAAGGGUAGAUGUGAACCUAAUGGCAUUCCUAAAGCUUUGAUUACCACUUGAUGAGAACAAGGGUGGGCCGAUCUUCUGAAAGGUUCUAGUAACUCUCGAUUUGGUGGAGACGAGACACAAAUCGAUCCGGCUUACGAACAACACGAUCCGAAACCCUGCAAUUUUAUUUAUUUUUUUGAUAUUUUUCUUUUAGUUAGGAGCACCAAAGGAGUAACCACAGAAAAUUUGAGCUUAAACAAGUGAAAGACAUGGCUUGCGGAAUUUUCUGAAGAUUGUGAAAAAUGUGAAAAAAAACUUCACGAGGUGAAAACUCAAAUUUCGGUGGUGAAUUUGGAGGUUCUAAAAUUUUCAAACCCACCAAUGAGGGGACAGAUAGAUCUGAAUUUUUUUCUGAUCGAUUUUGAUAUAUGGAAUGUUGAAAUUGGAGUUCAUAUGCGAAAGUUAUGGCCAUUUUACGAACGGACUCCGAAUUAGAGGACAAAACGGUCCGAGAGUGGGAAACAUUUGCGGCGAUGGCUAGAAUUUGAUGGAAACGGUGGGGAAAAAAUACACGAACUGGACUCUAACAAGACCUAACCAGCAACAAGACCUCGACCAGGACACAAACUCAGCACUACGGACUCUGAAACUGAAAUAUGCAAAGGCUAUGGCGUGGAAGGGUUGUAGGACACGAAAACGAUAUGGCACUGGACUUAUGGGACGAACACAAAAACACUCGAAACGAAGGGUAGAUGUGAAUCUAAUGCUAUACCUAAAGCUUUCAUUACCACUUGAUGAGACAAGGGUGGCCCGAUCUUCCGAAAGUUUCUGGUAACUCUCGAUUUGGUGGAGAUGAGAUACAAAUCGAUCCGGCUUCCGAACAACAUGAUCCGAAACCCUUCAAAUAUUUUUAUUUUUUUGAUAUUUUCCUUUUAGUUAGGAGCACCAAACGAGUAACCACAUAGAAUUUGACUUUUAAACAAGUGAAAGACAUGGCCUGUGGAUUUUUCUGAAGAUUGUGAAAAAUGUGAAAAAAACUUCACGAGGUGAAAACUCAAAUUUGGAGGUGAAUUUGCAGGUUCUAAAAUUUUCAAACCCACCAAAAGCUAGGACACACAGAUCCGAAAUUUUUUUCUGAUCGAUUUUGAUAUAUGGAACGUUGAAAUCAGAGUUCGUAUGUGAAAGUUAUGGCUAUUUUACGAACGGACUCCGAAUUAGAGGACAAAACGGUCUGACACUGGGAAAAAUUUGCGGUGGUGGCUAGAAAUUGAUGGAAACGGUGGGAAAAAACACACGAACUGGACUAUAACAAGACCUAACCAGCAACAAGACCUCAACCAGGACACAAACUCAACAAUGCGGACUCUGAAACUGAAAUAUGCAAAGGCUGUGGCGCGGAAUGGUUGUAGGACAUGAAAACGAUAAGGCCCUAGACGUUUGGGACGAACACAAGAACACUCGAAACUAAGGGUAGAUGUGAAUCUAACGGUAUACCUAAAGCUUUGAUUACCACUUGAUGAGAACAAGGGUGACCUGAUCUUCCAAAAGGUUUUGGUAACUCUCGAUUUGGUGCAGACGAGACACAAAUCGAUCCGGCUUUCGAACAACACGAUACGAAACCCUGCAAUUUUUUUUUAUUUUUUCGAUAUUUUUCUUUUAGUUAGGAGCACCAAAGGAGUAACCACAGAAAAUUUGAGCUUAAACAAGUGAAAGACAUGGCCUGCGGAAUUUUCUGAAGAUUGUGAAAAAUGUGAAAAAACUUCACGAGGUGAAAACUCAAAGUUCAGAGGAGAAUUUUGAGGUUCUAAAAUUUUCAAACCCCCCUACAACGGGGACAUGCAGAUCCGAAAAUUUUUUUUGAUCGAUUUUGAUAUACGGUACAUUGAAAUCGGAGUUCGUAUGUGAAAGUUAUGGCUAUUUUACAAACGGACUCUGAAUUAGAGGACAAAACGGUCCGAAAGUGGAAAAAAUUUGCGGCAGUGGCUAGAAAUUGAUGGAAACGGUGGGGAAAAAGACAUGAACUGGACUCUAACAAGACCUAUCCAGCAACAAGACCUCGACCAGGACAAACUCAACACUGCAGACUCUAAAACUGAAAUAUGGAGAGACUGUGGCGCGGAAGGGUUGUAGGACAGGAAAACGAUAUGGUACUGGACUUAUGGGACGAACACAGGAACACUCGAAACUAAGGGUAGAUGUGAACAUAAUGGUAUACCUAAGGCUUUGAUUACCACUUGAUGAGAACAAGGGUGGCCCGAUCUUCCGAAAGGUUCUGGUAACUCUCGAUUUGGUGGAGACGAGACACAAAUCGAUCUGGCUUCCGAACAAAACAAUCCGAAAUCCUGCAAUUGUUUUUUAUUUUUUUGAUAUUUUUCUUUUAGUUAGGUGCACCAAAAGAGUAACCACAUAAAAUUUGAGUUUAAACAAGUGAAAGACAUGGCCUGCCGAAUUUUCUGAAGAUUGUGAAAAAUGUGAAAAAAACUUCACGAGGUGAAAACGUAAACUUUGGAGGUGAAUUUGGAGGUUCUAAAAUUUUCAAACCCGCCAACGGUUGGGACAGACAGAUCUGAAAUUUUUUUCUGAUCGAUUUUGAUACAUGGAACGUUGAAAUCGGAGUUCGUAUGGCAAAGUUAUAGCUAUUUUACGAACAGACUCUGAAUUAGAGGACAAAACGGUCCGAAAGUGGGAAAAAUUUGCGGUGGUGGCUAGAAAUUGAUGGAAACGGAGGGGAAAAACACACGAACUAGACUCUAACAAGACCUAACCAGUAACAAGACCUCAACCAAGACACAAACUUAACACUACGGACUCUAAAACUGAAAUAUGCAAAGGCUAUGGCGCGGAAGGGUUGUAGGACAGGAAAACGAUAUUGCCCUCGACGUACGGGACGAACACAAGAACACUCGAAACUAAGGGUAGAUGUGAACCUAACGAUAUACCUAAAGCUUUGAUUACCACUUGAUGAGAAGAAGGGCGACCUGAUCUUCCAAAAGGUUUGUAACUCUCGAUUUGGUGUAGACGAGACACAAAUUGAUCCGGCUUCCGAACAACACGAUACAAAACCCUGUAACUUUUUUUAUUUUUUCGAUAUUUUUCUUUUAGUUAGGAGCACCACAGGAGUAACCACAAAAAAUUUGAGCUUAAACAAGUGAAAGACAUGGCCUGCGGAAUUUUUUGAAGAUUGCAAAAAAUGUGAAAAAAACUUCACAAGGUGAAAACUCAAACUUUGGAGGCAAAUUUGGAAAUUCUUAAAUUUUCAAACCCACAAAUUGCGGGGAUAGACAGAUCCGUAUUUAUUUUUGAUUGAUUUUGCGAUAUGGAACAUCGAAAUCAGAGUUCGUAUGCAAAAGUUAUGGCUGUUUUACAAAUGGACUCUGAAUUAGAGAACUAAAUGGUCCGAAAGUGGGAAAAAUUUGUGGCGGCGGCUAGAAAUUGAUGGAAACGGUGGGGAAAUUACACGAACUGGACUUGACCUAACCAGCAACAAGACCUCGACCAGGACACAAACUCAACACUACGGACUCUGAAACUAUAAUAUGCAAAGGCUAUGGCGCGGAAGGGUUGUAGGACAGGAAAACGAUAUUGUACUGGACUUAUGGGACGAACACAGGAACACUCAAAACUAAGGGUAGAUGUGAACCUAAUGGUAUACCUAAAGCGUUGAUUACCACUUGAUGAGAACAAGGGUGGCCCGAUCUAACGAAGGGUUCUGGUAACUCUCGAUUUGGUGGAGACGAGACACAAAUCGAUCCGGCUUCCCAACAACACGAUCCGAAACCCUACAAUUGUUUUUUAUUUUUUUGAUAUUUUUCUUUUAGUUAUGAGCACCAAAAGAGUAACCGCAUAAAAUUUGAGUUUAAACAAGUGAAAGACAUGGCCUGCGGAAUUUUCUGAAGAUUGUGAAAAAUGUGAAAAAAAAAUUCACGAGGUGAAAACUCAAAGUUCAGAGGAGAAUUUGGAGGUUCUAAAAUUUUUGAACCCGCCUACAACAGGGACAGGCAGAUCCGAAAUUUUUUUCUAAUCGAUUUUGAUACAUGGAACAUUGAAAUCGGAGUUCGUAUGCAAAAGUAAUGGCUAUUUGACAAACGGACUCUAAAUUAGAGGACAAAACGGUCCGAAAGUUGAAAAAAAAUUGCGGCGGUGGCUAAAAAUUGAUGGAAACGGUGGGGAAAAAGAAACGAACUGGACUCUAACAAGACCUAUCCAGCAAUAAGACCUCAACCAGGACAAACUCAACACUGCAGACUCUAAAACUGAAAUAUGCAGAGGCUAUGGCGCGGAAGGGUUGUAGGACAGGAAAACGAUAUGGUACUGGAAUUAUGGGACGAACACAGGAACACUCGAAACUAAGGGUAGAUGUGAACCUAAUGGUAUACCUAAAGCUUUGAUUACCACUUGAUGAGAACAUGGGUGGCCCGAUCUUCCGAAAGGUUCUGGUAACUCUCGAAUUGGUGGAGACGAGACACAAAACGAUCCGGCUUCCAAACAACACGAUGCGAAACCCUGCAAUUGUUUUUUAUUUUUUUUGAUAUUUUUCAUUUAGUUAGGAGCACCAAAAGAGUAACCACAUAAAAUUUGAGUUUGAACAAGUGAAAGACAUGGCCUGCGGAAUCAAUUUUCUGAAGAUUGUGAAAAAUGUGUAAAAAAACUUCACGAGGUGAAACCUCAAACUUCGGAGCUGAAUUUGGAGGUUCUAAAAUUUUCAAACCCGCCUAUGGCGGGGACAGACAGAUCUGAAAUUUUUUCUGAUCUAUUUUGAUAUAUGGAACGUUGAAAUCAGAGUUUAUAUGAGAAAGUUAUGGCUAUUUUACGAACAGACUCCGAAUUAGAGGACAAAACGGUCCGAAAGUGGAAAAAAAUUUGCGGUGGUGGCUAGAAAUUGAUGGAAACGGUGGGGAAAAACACACGAACUAGACUCUAACUAGACCUAACCAGCAACAAGACCUCAACCAGGACACAAACUCAACACUGCGGACUCUGAAACUGAAAUAUGCAAAGGCUAUGGCGUGGAAGGGUUGUAGGACAGAAAAAUGAUAUGGCCCUGGACUUAUGGGACGAACACAAGAACACUCGAAACUAAGGGUAGAUGCGAACCUAACGGUAUACCUAAAGCUUUGAUUACCACUUGAUGAGAACAAGGGUGACCUGAUCUUCCAAAAGGUUCUGGUAACUCUCGAUUUGGUGCAGAUGAGACACAAAUCGAUCCGGCUUCCGAACAACACGAUAUGAAACCCUGAAAUUUUUUUAUUUUUUCGAUAUUUUUCUUUUAGUUAGGAGCACCAAAGGAGUAACCACAUAAAAUUUGAGCUUAAACAAGUGAAAGACAUGGCCUGCGGAAUUUUCUGAAGAUUGUGAAAAAUGUGAAAAAAACAUCACGAGGUGAAAACUCAAAGUUCGUAGGAGAAUUUGGAGGUUCGAUUUUGAUAUAUGGAACAUUGAAAUCGGAGUUCGUAUGCGAAAGUUAUGGCUAUUUUACAAACGGACUCUGAAUUAGAGGACAAAACGAUCCGAAAGUGGAAAAAAUUUGCGGCGGUGGCUAGAAAUUGAUGGAAACGGUGGGGAAAAAGACAAGAACUGGACUCAAACAAGACCUAUCCAGCAACAAGACCUCAACCAGGACACAAACUCAAAACUGUAGACUCUAAAACUGAAAUAUGUGCUGCUAUGGCGCGGAAGGGUUGUAGGACAGGAAAACGAUAUGGCACUGGACUUAUGGCACGAACACAAGAACACUUGAAACAAAGCGUAGAUGUGAACCUAAUGGUAUACCUAAAGCUUUGAUUACCAUUUGAUGAGAACAAGGGUGACCUGAUCUUCCGAAAGGUUCUAGUAACUCUCGAUUUGGUGGAGACGAGACACAAAUCGAUUCGGCUUCCGAACAACACGAUCCGAAACCCAACAAUUUUUUUUAUUUUUUUAUUUUUCUUUUAGUUAGGAGCACCAAAGUAGUAACCACAGGAAAUUUGAGCUUAAACAAGUGAAAGACAUGGGCUGCAGAAUUUUUUGAAAAUUGUGAAAAAUGUGAAAAAAACUUCACGAGGUGAAAACUCAGACUUUGAGGGUGAAUUCAUAGGUUCUAAAAUUUUCAAACCUGCCAAUGGAGGAGACAGAGAGAUCUGAAAUUUUUUUCUGAUCGAUUUUGAUAUAUGGAACAUUGAAAUCGGAGUUCGUAUGCGAAAGUUAUGGCUAUUUUACGAACGGACUCUGAAUUAGAGGACAAAACGGUCCGAAAGUGGAAAAAAUUUGCGGCGGUGGCUAGAAAUUGAUCUAAAUGAUGGGGAAAAACACACGAACUGGACUCUAACAAGACCUAUCCAGCAACAAGACCACGACGAGGACACAAACUCAACACUGCGGACUCGGAAACUGAAAUAUGUAAAGGCUAUGGCGCGGAAGGUUGUAGGAUAGGAAAACGAUAUGGUACUGGACUUAUGGGAAGAACACAAGAACACUCGAAUUUAAGGGUAGAUGUGAAUGUAAUGGUAUACCCAAAGCUUUGAUUACAACUUGAUGAGAACAAGGGUGGCCUGAUCUUCCGAAAGGUUGUGGUAACUCUCAAUUUGGUGGAGUUGAGACACGAAUCGAUCCGGCUUCUGAACAAUACGAUCCGAAACCCCACAAUUAUUUUUAUUUUUUUGAUAUUUUUCUUUAACUAGGAGCACUAAAGAAGUAACCACAGAAAAUUUGAGCUUUAACAAGUGAAAGACGUCGCCUGCGGAAUUUUUUGAAGAUUGCGAAAAAUGUGAGAAAAACUUCACGAGGUGAAAACUCAAACUUUGGAGGCAAAUUUAGAGAUUAUAAAAUUUUCAAACUUGCCAAUUGCAGGGAUAGACAGAUCCGAAAUUUUUUUUGAUUGAUUUUGCGAUAUGGAACAUUGAAAUCGUAGUUUGUAUGCGAAAGUUAUGGCUGUUUUACAAACGGACUCUGAAAUAGUGGACUAAAUGGCCCGAAAGUGGGAAAAAUUUGCGGCGGUGGCUAGAAAUUGAUGGAAACAGUGGGAAAAAUACAAGAACUGGACUCUAACAAGACCUAACCAGCAACAAGACCUCAACUAGGACACAAACUCAACACUACGGACUCUGAAACUGAAAUAUGCAAAGGCUAUGGUGCGGAAAGGUUGUACGACAGGAAAACGAUAUGGCACUAGACACAUGAGAUGAACACAAGAACACUCAAAACUAAGGGUAGAUGUGAACCUAAUGGUAUAACUAAAUCUUUAAUUACAACUUGAUGAGAACAAGGGUGGCCCGAUCAUCCGAAAGGUUCUGGUAACUCUCGAUUUGGUGGAGAUGAGACACAAAUCGAUCCGGCUUCCGAACAAUACCAUCCAAAACCCUUUUUUUUAUUUUUUGAUAUUUUUCUUUAACUAGGAACACUAAAGAAGUAACCAAAGAAAAUUUGAGGUUAAACAAGAGAAAGACGUCGCUUGCUGAAUUUUUUGAAGAUUGCAAAAAAUGUGAAAAAAAACUUCACGAGGUGAAAACUCAAACUUUGGAGGAAAAUUUGGAGAUUCUAAAAUUUUCAAACCCACCAAUUGCGGGGAUAGACAGAUCCGAAUUUUUUUUCUGAUUGAUUUUGCGAUAUGGAAGAUCGAAAUCAGAGUUCGUAUGCAAAAGUUAUGGCUGUUUUACAAACGGACUCAGAAUUAGAGGACUAAAUGGUCCGAAAGUGGGAAAAAUUUGUGGCGGUGGCUAGAAAUUUAUGGAAACGGUGGGGAAAUUACACGAACUGGACUCUAUCAAGACCUAACCAGCAACAAGACCUCAACCAGGACACAAACUCAAAACUACGGACUCUGAAACUAAAAUAUGCAAAGGCUAUGGUGCGGAAGGGUUGUAGGACAGGAAAAAGAUAUGGCACUGGACUUAUGGGACGAACACAAGAACACUUGAAACUAAGGGUAUUUGUGAACCUUACUCUAUUCCUAAAGCUUUGAUUACCACUUGAUGAGAACAAGGGUGACCCGAUCUUCCGAAAGGUUCUGGUAACUCUCGAUUUUGUAGAGAUGAGACAAAAAUCGAUCCGGCUUCCGAACAACACGAUACGAAACCCUACAAUUUUUUUAUUUUUUUGAUAUUUAUCUUUAACUAGGAGCACUAAAGAAGUAACCAUACCAAAUUUGAGCUUAAACAAGUGAAAGACGUCGCCUGCGGAAUUUUCUGAAGAUUGCGAAAAAUGUGAAAACAAACAGCACGAGGUGAAAACUCAAACUUUGGAAGCGAAUUUGGAGAUUCUAAAAUUUACAAACCCACCAAUUGCGGGGAUAGACAGAUCUAAAAUUUUUUUCUUAUCAAUUUUAGUAUAUGAAACAUUGAAAUCGGAGUUCGUAUGCAAAAGUUAUGGUUGUUUGACGAACGGACUCUCAAUUAGAGGACAAAAUGGUCCAAAAGUGAGAAAAAUUUGCGGCGGUGGCUAGAAAUUGUUGGAAACGGUAGGGAAAAAUACAAGAAGUGAACUCUAACAAGACCUAACCAACAACAAGACCUCAACCAGGACACAAACUCAACACUGGGGACUCUGAAACUGAAAUAUGCAAAGGCUAUGGCGCGGAAGGGUUGUAGGACAGGAAACCGAUAUGGCACUGGACUUAUGGGACGAACACAAGAACACUCGAAACUAAGGGUAGAUGUGAACCUAAUGGUAUACCAAAAGCUUUGAUUACAACUUGAUGAGAACAAGGGUGGCCCGAUCUUCCGAAUGGUUCUGGUUACUCUCGAUUUGGUGGAGAUGAGACACAAAUCGAUCCGGCUUCCGAACAAUACGAUCCGAAACCCUACAAUUUUUUUUGGUUUUUUUUAUAUUUUUCUUUAACUAGGAGCACUAAAGAAGUAGCCACACAAAAUUUGAGCUUAAACAAGUGAAAGACGUUGCCUGCAGAAUUUUUUGAAUAUUGCCAAAAAUGUGAAAAAAACUUCACGAGGUGAAAACUCAAACUUUUGAGGCGAAUUUGGAGAUUCUAAAUUUUUUGAACCUACCAAUUGCGGGGAUAGACACAUCCAAAUUUUUUUCUAAUUUGCAAUAUGGAACAUUGAAAUCGGAGUUCGUAUGCGAAAGUUAUGGCUGUUUUACGAAUGGACUAUGAAUUAGAGGACUAAAUGGUCCGAAAGUGGGAAAUAUUUGUGGAGGUGGCUAGAAAUUGAUGGAAACAGUGGGGAAAAAAAUACACGAACUGGACUCUAACAAGACGUAAGCAGCAACAAGACCUCAACGAGGACACAAACUCAACACUACGGACUCUCAAACUGAAAUAUGCAAAGGCUAUGGCGCGGAAGGGUUGUAGGACAGGAAAACGAUAUGGCACUGGACUUAUGGGACGAACAUAAAAACACUCAAAACUAAGGGUUGAUGUGAACCUAACGGUAUUCCUAAAGCUUUGAUUACCACUUGAUGAGAACAAGGGUGGCCCGAUCCUCCGAAAGGUUCUGGUAACUCUCGAUUUGGUGGUGAUAAGACACAAAUCGAUGCGGCUUCUGAACAACACGAUACGAAACUCUGCAAUUUUUUUAUUUUUUUGAUAUUUUCUCUAACUAGAAGCACUAAAGAAGUAACCAUAGAAAAUUUGAGCUUAAACAAGUGAAAGACGUCGCCUACGGAAUUUUCUCAAGAUUGCAAAAAAUGUGAAAAAAACUUCACGAGGUGAAAACUCAAAUUUUAGAGGCGAAUUUAGAGAUUCUAAAAUUUUCAAACCUGCCAAUUGCGGGGAUAGACAGAUUUGAAAUUUUUUUUCGAAUUGAUUUUGAUAUAUGGAGAAUUAAAAUCAGAGUUCGUAUGCGAAAGUUAUGGCUGUUUUACGAACGGACUCUGAAUUAAAUGACAAAAUGGUCCGAAAGUGGGAAAAAUUUGCGGCGGUGGCUAGAAAUUGAUGGAAACUGUGGGGAAAAAUACUAGAACUGGACUCUAACAAGUCCUAACCAGCAACAAGACCUCAACCAGGACACAAACUCAACACUGCGGACUCUGAAACUGAAAUAUGCAAAGGCUAUGGCGCGGAAGGGUUGUAGGACAGGAAAACGAAAUGGCACUGAAUUUAUGGGACGAACACAAGAAUACUCGAAACUAAGGGUAGAUGUGAACCUAACGGUAUACCUAAAGCUUUGAUUACCACUUGAUGAGAACAAAAGUGACCCGAUCUUCUGAAAGGUUCUGGUAACUCUCGAUUUGGUGGAGAUGAGACACAAAUCGAUCCGGCUUCCGAACAAUACCAUCCAAAACCCUACAUUUUUUUUAUUUUUUGAUAUUUUUCUUUAACUAGGAACACUAAAGAAGUAACCAAAGAAAAUUUGAGCUUAAACAAGUGAAAGACGUCGCUUGCUGAAUUUUUUGAAGAUUGCAAAAAAUGUGAAAAAAACUUCACGAGGUGAAAACUCAAACUUUGGAGGAAAAUUUGGAGAUUCUUAAAUUUUCAAACCCACCAAUUGCAGGGAUAGACAGAUCCGAAUUUUUUUUCUAAUUGGUUUUGCGAUAUGGAAGAUCGAAAUCAGAGUUCCUAUGCAAAUGUUAUGGCUGUUUUACAAACGGACUCUGAAUUAGAGGACUAAAUGGUCCGAAAGUGGGAAAAAUUUGUGGCGGUGGCUAGAAAUUUAUGGAAACGGUGGGGAAAUUACACGAACUGGACUCUAACAAGACCUAUCCAGCAAUAAGACCUCAACCAGGACAAACUCAACACUGCAGAGUCUAAAACAGAAAUAUCCAGAGGCUAUGGCGCGGAAGGGUUGUAGGACAGGAAAAGGAUAUGGUAGUGGACUUAUGGGACGAACACAGAAAACACUCGAAACUAAGGGUAGAUGUGAACCUAAUGGUAUACCUAAAGCUUUGAUUACCACUUGAUGAGAACAUGGGUGGUCCGAUCUUCCGAAAGGUUUUGGUAACUCUCGAUUUGGUGGAGACGAGACACAAAUCGAUUCGGCUUCCGAACAACAAGAUCCGAAACCCUGCAAUUUUUUUUAUUUUUUUUACUUUUAUUUUAGUUAGGAGCACCAAAGGAGUAACCACAAAAAAUUUGAGCUUAAACAAGUGAAAGACAUGGCCUGUGGAAUUUUCUGAAGAUUGUGAAAAAUGUGAAAAAAACUUCACGAGGUGAAAACUCAAACUUUGGAGGUGAAUUUGGAGGUUCUAAAAUUUUCAAACCUGCCAAUGGAGGGGACAGACAGAUCUAAAACUUUUUUCUGAUCAAUUUUGAUAUAUGGAACGUUGAAAUCGAAGUUCGUAUGCGAAAGUUAUGGCUGUUUUACGAACGGACUCUGAAUUAUAGCACAAAAUGGUCCGAAAGUGGAAAAAAUUUACGGCGGUGGCUAGAAAUUGAUGGAAACGGUGGAGAAAAAUACACGAACUGGACUCUAACGAGACCUAACCACCAACAAGACCUCAACCAGGACACAAACUCAAUACUGCAGCUGAAAUAUGCAAAGGCUAUGGUGCGGAAGGGUUGUAGAACAGGAAAAGGAUAUGGCACUGGACUUAUGGGACGAACACACGAACACUCGAAAUUAAGGGUAGAUGUGAACCUAACGUUAUUCCUGAAGCUUAGAUUAUCACUCGAUGAGAACAAGGGUGGCCCGAUCUUCCGAAAGGUUCUGGUAACUCUCGAUUUGGUGGAGAUGAGACACAAAUCGAUCCGGCUUCCGAACAACACGAUAAGAAACCCUACAAUUUUUUUUUUAUUUUUUUGAUAUUUUUCUUUAACUAGGAGCACUAAAGAAGUAACCACAGAAAAUUUGAGCUUAAACAAGUGAAAGACGUCGCCUGCGGAAUUUUCUCAAGGUUGCGAAAAAUGUGAAAAAAACUUCACAAGGUGAAAACUCAAACUUUGGAGAUUCUGAAAUUUUCAAACCCGCAAAUGCGGGGACAGACACAUUCGAAUUUUUUUUCUGAUCGAUUUUGAUAUAUGGAACAAUGAAAUUGGAGUUCGUAUGUGAAAGUUAUGGAUGUUUUACGAACGGACUCUGAAUUAGAGGACAAAAUAGUCCAAAAGUGGGAAAAAUUUGCGGCGGUGGCUAGAAAUUGAUGGAAACGGUGGGGAAAAAUACACGAACUGGACUCUAACAGGACUUAAUCAACAACAAGACCUCGACCAGGACACAAAGUCAACACUGCGGACUCUGAAACUGAAAUAUGCAAAGGCUAUGGCGCGGAAGGGUUGUAGGACAGAAAAACGAUAUGGCACUGGACUUACGGGAUGAACAUAAGAACACUAAAAACUAAGGGUACAUGUGAACCUAACGGUAUACCUAAAGCUUUGAUUACCACUUGAUGAGAACAAGGGUGGCCCGAUCUUUCGAAACGUUCUGGUAAAUCUCAAUUUGGUGGAGAUGAGACACAAAUCGAUCCGGCUUCCGAACAACACGAUCCGAAACCCUACAAUUUUUUUAAUUUUUUUAUAUUUUUCUUUUACUAGGAGCACUAAAAAAUUAUCCAUAGAAAACUUGAACUUAAACAAGUGAAAGACGUGGUGUGUAGAAUUUUCUAAAGAUUGCAAAAAAUGUGAAAAAAAUUUCAAGAGGUGAAAACUCAAUCUUUGCAGGUUCUAAAAUUUUCAAACCCGCCAAAGGCGAGGACAGACAGAUCCGAAAUAUUUUUAUAAUCUAUUUUCAUAUAUGGAACGUUGAAAUCGGAGUUCGUAUGCGAAAGUUAUGGCUGUGUUACGAAGAGACUCCGAAUUCGAGGACAAAACGGUCCGAAAGUGGGUAAAUUUUGCGGCAGUGGCUAGAAAUUUAUGGAAACGGUGGGGAAAAAUACACGAACUGGACUCUAACAAGACCUAACCAACAACAACCAGGACACAAACUCGACACUACGGACUGUGAAAUCGAUCCGGCUUCCGAACAACACGAUCCGAAAUCCUGCAAUUUUUAUUAAUUUAUUGAUAUUUUUCUUUUACUUAGGAGGACUAAGGAAGUAACCACAGAAAAUUUGAGCUUAAACAAGUGAAAGUCGUGGCCUGGAGAAUUUUCCAAAGAUUGCGAAAAAUGUGUAAUAAACUUCACGAUGUGAAAACUCAAACUUCAGAGGCGAAUUUGGAGAUUCUAAAAUUUUCAAACCCGCCAAAGGCGAGUACAGACAGAUCCGAAAUAUUUGUUUGAUCUAUUUUGAUAUAUGGAACAUUGAAAUCGCAGUUCGUAUGCAUAAGUUAUGGCUGUGUUACGAAGAGACUACGAAUUAGAGGACAAAACGGUCCAAAAGUGGGAAAAAUUUGCGGCGGUGGCUAGAAAUUGAUGGAAACGGUGCGGAAAAAUACACGAACUGGACUCUAACAAGAUCUAACCAGCAACAAGACCUCGACCACGACACAAACUCAAAACUGCGGACUCUGAACUAAAAUAUGCAAAGGCUAUGGCGCGGAAGGGUUGUAGGACAGGAAAACAAUAUGGCAGUGGACUUAUGGCAUGAACAUAAGAACACUCGAAACUAAAGGUAGAUGUGAAACUAAUGGUAUACUUGAAGCUUUGAUUACCACUUGAUGAGAACAAGGGUGGCCUAAUCUUGCGAAAGGAUCUGGUAACUCUCGAUUUGGUGGAGACGAGACACAAAUCGAUCUGGCUUUCGAACAACACGAUCCGAAAUCCUGCAAUUUUUUUUAUUUUUUUUGAUAUUUUUCUUUUACUUAGGAGCAAUAAAGAAGUAACAACAGAAAAUUUGAGCUUAAACAAGUGAAAGACGUCGCCUGCAGAAAUUUCUGAAGAUUGCAAAAAAUGUGAAAAAAAAACUUCACGAGAUUCUGGUAACUCUCGAUUUGGUGGAGAUGAGACACAAAUCGAUCCGGCUUCUGAACAACACAAUCCGAAACCCUACAAAUUUUUAUUUUUUUGAUAUUUUUCUUUUACUAGGAGCACCAAAGAUUGUGAAAAAUAUAAAAAAAACUUCACGUGGUAAAAACUCAAAAUUCGGAGGCGAAUUUGGAGAUUCUAAAAUUUUCAAACCUACCUAUAGCGGGGAUAGACACGUCCAAAAUUUUUUCUUAUCGAUUUUGAUAUAUGGAACAUUGAAAUCGGAGUUCGUAUGCGAAAGUUAUGGCUGUUUUACGAACGGACUCCGAAUUAGAGGACAAAAUGGUCCGAAAGUGGGAAAAAUUUGCGGCGAUGGCUGGAAAUUGAUGGAAAUGGUGGGGAAAAAUACACGAAUUGGACUCUAACAAGACCUAACCAGCAACAAGACCUCGAUUAGGACACAAACUCAACACUACAGACUCUGAAACUGAAAUAUGCAAAGGCUAUGGCGCGGAAGAGUUGUAGGACAGGAAAACUAUAUAGCACUGGACUUAUGGGAUGAACAUAAGAACACUCGAAACUAAGGGUAGAUGUGAACCUAACGGUAUAUUUGAAGCUUUGAUUAUCACUUGAUGAGAACAAGGGUGGCCCAAUCUUCCGAAAGAUUCUGGUAACUCUCGAUUUGGUGGAGAUGAGACACAAAUCGAUCCGGCUUCCUGUUGAUGCAAAAGUUAAUCUGCAAACACAAAGGGCUAAUACCCGAUUUAAACGUUAAGGCGUGCCAGCCGAUUUGACCUUACUAUCGGCAAAGGUGGUAACUCGAAUACUUUGGUCCCGACAACAGCGAUGCGCCCGGAUGCCACGGCCAAGAGGUAUUCACGCGGAACUUGAGAAUACGCCGAGCUUAAGUCGACGAACUCCUAAGAACUCGUAAUGAAAAGUGAAAAUAUGAUGAAGUCGUCGAAAAAGUAGAUGCUGGAAUAUCAUUAAAAACUUGUAUUUGAUUGAUUGAUUGCUUCUGUUUACAAGGUCCUAGGGUCUACAUUUAUACCCUGCUCAAAGAACUACAACCAGACACAACUAGAACUCGAAUUCCAAAUUUAAACAGAAUCAGUGUACAAAACGAUUUAUAUAACUAAGGAAAACAUAAAACUAUCCUUCCGUGACAAACUGGAGCACCACCACGGAUCAAUCGGCAACCUUCAAACCUUCCUUCCAUGUCUUCGGCAAACUCCCCAUCGGCAACGGUUAACCCCGGCCAUCGGCAUAAACACAUCACUAUCCACGGAUUUAGCCAUAUUCAGCUGUCUUCACGUCGGCAACCGCGCUCAUCGGCAAACCUUCUACAGACCAGUAACCAUUACUCUGUCUUGACGAUCCACACUCUACCGAUCCUGGAUACGUGUCCAAAAAUGGUGCCAACACAUGCCCCCCAAUUUCGGAGUAUGAAAUCAUUAAUGCUCCGAAAUUCUCUGCAACAAUGAUGCCUUUCCGCAAUUAAUUAUCCCAGUUUGGUAACCGACAACCUCAAUUUGAACAACCCUGAUGUAAUCCUCCAUCAGAUUCCUCGAAAUCCUCAACGUCCAAAACGGACAUCUCCACUUCAAUCGCCCAUCGGCAAUGUCACCGUUACGGAGAGCUGCCGAUGGACUGACCAGGAUGCCCCGUACAGUGACGUAUCUUAUCCUCCCCAACGGAUAUCUCCACUUUAUCCGCCCAUCGGCAAUAUUACCGUUGCAAGGCGCUGCCGAUGGACCGAUCAAGAAAUCUCGCACAGUAAAAUAUCUCCAAAUCACGACCGCUACCUAUCAAAUCACCUGUGAAAUCCCUUGAUUACCGUGCGAACAGUUACCAUAUCUUCCUGAGUAUCCUCGAAUUUCACGGAUACGGCGAAGUGACAAGUCAGAUUUACCCUUGCCUAUUUUGUCCUAUAAAUAGUUCCUUCUCGGGUACUCCUUCUCCAUCGCAUCAUUCCACAGCUCCGACUCCACUUUCCUAGCGGCGGCGCUGUUCGAGAUCUCCGAGAACCUCAACAAAGUCCUUUCUCCACCAACCUCAGAGUCUUCAAUCUUCUUCCUUGCGAGGAAAUGGCUAUCAACUUCACCGUCCCUGAGGUCAGUUCAUCAUCCCACCUCGUGUACUUUUACCAUGUCCUAGUUCAUCUGUGAUCUAUUUCACUGAAUAUUUCCUUUUUCUCUUUUUGUUCUUCUUUUCAUCCCAAAACCACUAGGAUCUGUCCAACAAAAUUGUCAUCCCUACCGAUCAGCCACACCUUCAAUGUCUCGGUCCACUAGGGAACCCAGAUCCCACAGAUUUAAUCAAUGCAGAAACAAACAGAAUCCCCUUUAGAGCCGAGAAUUUUUCUCUAGAUCUGUGGAAGGAUACCUUCCGUUCCUGGCCCAAUCCUACAGUGGGAUGGAAAGAUUGGUUCUUGAGAGUCAGGCACUCAAAUGAGGUUCAGUGGGGUGAGCGAAAACUGGAUCAAUGCAUUAGGUUGUCUAUUGCCGAUAUGCACAGGAAUGAAUCACUGCUGAUAGCUGCAUGAUAUUUCUGGUCAGACACACUCAAUGCCUUUGUCUUUGGCCACGACCCUGCUUCCCCCACUCUUGCCGAUGUGCUCAUGCUCACUGGCCUAGACGUAUCCACUGCCGAUAGUAGUCACCUGUUUGACACUACGCCUAGCACCAAAGUGGACACUCGCGCCAUCGGCGGCUGGUCUGGGUACAUUUAGAUGUACCGCAGAACGGGGCCUGUCAACAUAAAGGAACAAACCACCUUCUUGAACAUGUGCCUGGACAAGUUCGUGUUCUGUGGUUGAUCGACAGGACCAACCUCUGUCUACCUAUCGGCAGCAGAGAGAUAAGCCAAUGGUGGCCGAUUUCCCCUCGGCCGAUAUCUGCUAGGCUCUGCCUACCACCUCCUCCACCAAGUAGCCAGAAAACUCCUGCUCGGCCAGCCCAUCGGUAACCUAGGAGGACCCUGGUGGUUCCUCAAUAUGUGGCUCAACCUCCACAUGCACAAGCGUCUUGAAUUCAACCUCUUCACACAACGCUUCCCCAGGGACAUAACCGAGGAUUAUGAAUUAGAUGAAGAAGAAUCGGCAACUUGCCCUCCUCUGAACUUUGGCGAGGCUAUCAUUGUUUUACCUGGCACAGGCGGCAACGCAGACCAGGUCAGCCGAUUCUUCCAGACCUUGUAUGAAGGCCUGACCCGAGAGCAGCAAGCGUGGAUGCCUUAUGAAGAUCCACACACCAUGUUUCCUUUGGUCUUCCAUCCCUUCAAUGAUGCACUCAACAAGGAUCAUGAUGUGAUGAUGGCACUGAUCACUCCCAGAGUUAUACCAGUAAAUUUGUUUGGCAGUGGGAAAGCUUCUAACCAGACUUAUGAGUUCUACAACCCAUCGGCACUAGCCCGUCAACUAGCUUUCGGUCAGCAACCGAUUGCUCUCUGUUUUGCCGAUGUGAUAAAACCUAGGGAAACCAUCACAAGCCUUCUUGAGUGGACCCGAGUAGCCCAACUGCUGCCGAAUGCCGAUAAAGAUGCAGACCUCUCAGAGUGGGUCCCAGCCCUCUUUAUUACUCAGGCGUACAAGCAGUGGUGGGAAGAAUAGAAGGAACACCUGUUCUACAGAUCGGCCCUUACAUACCGUGGCAUGAUUGAUCCUCAGUACAAAGUCCCUGAUGAUACUGUAAGUACCACCAAACCGAUGUUCUAAUCUUUUUAUUCUCAUUUUCAUCGGUAACUCACUUUCUAUGUUAUGUUGCAGGUUGACGACACUCCUCCAUCGGUCAGCAGGAGUGGCAAGCCGAUUGAUCUGUUCCCAUCAGGUCCGAUCUCUUCAAUCGGCAACAACGCUCUCACUCUGGCCGCCAUCAUGCAUCGAGGCGUACGCCUCAAGAAAGUCACCACCAGGAGAACUCAGAUAUCUCCAUCGGUAGCUGCCUCUGCUUUGGCACAGGCGUUCAAGGUACAUUUUCAAAGUCUUUCAUACUGAUCUCACUCUUACACCUAUUAUAUUUGUACUCAUAAAUUUCCCUUUCUGCAUCAGAACACUGGCGCAUCGGCAAGGAUCAGAGGCAAAAGUGUCGAUGCCCCCCAGUCUAGUCAACCGAAGAGAAAGGGUGCCAAGAGUACCAGGGCACAAGCAAAGCGCCAAAGAGUAGCAACACCUCCUCCUCCCCCAGUAUCUCCAAUCACGGUAGAUUCUUCUCCCUCUUCUCCAGCAACACAGACACAGCAGGUACCAUCCCCUUCUCAGCUACAAGAAGCACCACAAGUAGAAGAACCCCAGCCAGAAGAGCCUCAACCAGAAGUACCUCAGCCAGAAGACAUAUCGGCUGACGUGCAUGAACAAACUACCGAUCCGGCAGGUUCCAUUAUAGCAUCGGUAGUUUCUUCCAUCCAGACAAGCACUGCUCCCCCUCAAGGUAACAUAUUUUCAUGAAAUUAUUGCUGAUAAACUUAUCUUUUCUGUCUUAUAACUAUCUCUGUUAUUAUUUUUUUAGCUGAUUUUGUCACAUCGGUACCCCCAGCCGAUCAGCCUGUAGUCCCAUCGGCAUCUUCCAGUCAGAGGCGAGAGAUUGCCCUAAAACAAGUAAGUCACCCUGCCUCUAUCGGUAUUACCUAUUAACACUUGACCAUGUAAUGACCCACUUUAUUUCUUUUUCAGGAACAGGACUCUCCUGAUAGCUUGUUCUCCUUUGCUAUUGACAUCUCUGAAGAUGAAGGUGAGGAGGCAAGUUCUUCUCGAGCAGUUGGAAUUACAUCGGCAGAGAUCAGGGCAAAGCUAGAAGAAUUAUCAUCCCUCCUUCAUCAAGAUACAGCUCAACUGGUUGAUGACUCUGACCCAGCAAAGGCCUUGUUCAAGACCCUUAGAGGCCAAAUUCCUGCCGAUGCCGAAGAAAUCCUCUUCCAAGCCGCACAUCUAGAGAGCCGUGAGCUGCAGUACCAGAGAGCUGCCCAACGUCUUGCCGAUAGAGCUGCUCAUGCCCAGCUCUCUGAGGAGAUGAUGAAGGUGAAGCUCCUUGCCGAUGAGAAGCACAAGGACAUCGACAUCUUAAAGUCCUUAGGGGAGGCACUGAAGCAAAAGAUCUCUAACUUAUCGGCAAGAAGGGAAGCCCUGCUGGCAGAGCUUAAACAAGUAGAAGAAGCCUUGUCCCAAGCCCAGCAAGAAGAAAGCCAGCUGCCUGAAACGAUUAAGCUUCUUGAGCAAGAGCGCAAUGUCCAGGCUCGCACAGCACUGUAGAUGAAGAAGAAGUUGAAGCCGGUGGAGGGCUCUGCCGAUGAAGACAUCAAAGAGAUAGAAGCAGCCAACCAAAUCCGCCUGCGCGCUAUAUCGGUGAUCCAAGCGCUGUUAAGCAUGUGAGCUCUUCAUCGGCAACACACCUGCCCCUCUCUGCUUUCUAACUUUGUUGAUAUUUGGUCUAGCCGAUAGGACUGUUAUCGGCACCUUUUAAAACACUGAGUUCUACCCCCACAUACAUUUUGAUCCAGCCGAUAGGAAUGUUAUCGGCAUUUAAACUUUUAUGCAUCGACCCAUAUGCUCGGGUAAUACUUCUUUAAAUAUUUACCAUUUAAUGCUCUGGGAAAUUCAACUCCUUCGAGAGUUUCUAGAAUUUAGGCAUUACCAGGAGCCGAUCAAUUUAUCCAAUAGGAACCCUCCCAAUUGGGAGACUACUUCCCAAAUUUUGAACUUUUAGUCCCGAUCGGUAAGAUCAAUUUCCAUACUAAGUCUCCAUCGACAAAUUCUUUAGCCUUUACCUUCUUAUCAUACCAUCUAGCAGCUCUCUUCUUAUUCUCUUCUAUACUCAUCAAAGCCCUUAGCAGAUGCCCUGCUAAAUCAUCCACCUCGUCUGUCAUCAAAGUAGCAUAGUCAUCGACAGUCAACCGAUCCUGAAAAGAUAGUCGCCUAGACCCAGCCUUAAUUUCCCAGAGUAACACUGCAUCAUGCCCAUACACCAACUGAUAAGGUGAAACCUUGGUCGAUCCAUGAUAAGCCAUCCGGUAUGACCAUAAAGCUUCGUUUAACAAUGUGUGCCACCUCUUAGGAUUUUCUUCAAUCUUUCGUUUAAUGAGCUUGAUAAUUCCUUUGUUAGAUGCCUCGGCCUGCCCAUUAGCUUGAGCAUAGUAAGGAGAAGAGUUUAAUACUUUAUUUCCCAUGCCGAUUGCAAAUUCAUCAAACUCCCCUGAUGUGAACAUAGUACCCUGAUCGGUAGUAAUUGUUUGAGGAAUCCCAAAUCGGUAGAUGAUGUCCUCUUUCACAAAAUCAAUCAUAUUGGCCGAUGUAACUUUCUUUAAAGGAAUAGCUUCAACCCAUUUGGUGAAAUAAUCGGUGGCAACUAGAAUGAAUUUUUGUCCUUUGCUGGAUGGCGGAUAAAUCUAGCCGAUCAAAUCAAUAGCCCAUCCUCGGAACGGCCAAGGCUUGAUGAUAGGAUUCAUAGCUGAUGCAGGUGCCCUCUGGAUAUUUCCAAAUUUCUGACAGCCUUGACACCCCUUGAAAUACUUAAAGCAAUCCUCAAGUAUAGUCGGCCAAUAAUACCCAUUUCUUAUGAUCAUCCACUUCAUCUUAAAAGCCAACUGAUGUGCUCCACAUACUCCCUCGUGGAUCUCUCUCAUCAAACCCUUAGCCUCAUCAUCACCUAAGCAUCUGAGAAGAAUCCCAUCGAUAGUUCGGUAAUAUAAUUCAUCUUCAAGGAGCACAUACUUGGUAGCUUGAAACCGAACGCGCCUCUCAACUUUCUUAGAUGGAUCCUUUAAAUAAUCCAUGAUUUCUUUCCUCCAAUCAUCGGCACCGGUUGCCGAUAUUGUAUUUAUUAUGGGUUGAUAUCCCGAGGCAUGCUGGGCCAACCAAUUGGCCUCUUCAUUAUGCAAUCGAGGAACAUGCUCUAAUCAGAAAUCCUUGAAUUCCUUUAACAGUUGCAUACUCCUUUCGUAAUAAGUUAUGAGGACUUCACUUCGACAUUCAUAGCUUCCAGCCAACUCAUUUAUAACCAGCAUAGAAUCCCCGAAGACUUCAACAACAUCAGCAUGAACUUCCCUCAGCAAUUCCAAACCCUUUAUCAAAGCUUGAUACUCAGCUUGAUUAUUUGUGGACGUGGCAACAAUCGGCAAAGAAAACUCAUAUUUCCUUCCUUGAGGGGAAAUUAAUAUUAUGCCGAUUCCUGCCCCCCGGUCACACGUGGAUCCAUCAAAGAAGAGCGUCCAAGGUACAAUUUCUAAAACCUCCACUGUACCGCAGUGUUGAGUUACAAAAUCAGCCAUAAUCUGUUCUUUAAUCGCCUUAGCCGAUUCAUAACGCAAGUCAAAUUCCGAUAGUGCCAAAAUCCACUUACUGAUCCUGCCACUCAUGAUCGGCAUAGACAGCAUGUAUCGGACCACAUGAUCUUUGCAUAUGACAGUGCAUUCGGCCGAUAACAAAUAAUGUCUCAACUAGACACAGGAGAAGUACAAGCAUAAACACAGCUUCUCAAUAGUCGAAUACCUAGUCUCAGCAUCGAUCAACCUCCUGCUUAAAUAGUAAAUCACACGUUCUUUCCCUUCAAAUUCCUGAAUCAAAGCCGAACCGAUGACCAUCCCAUCGGUAGACAAAUAUAAUCUGAAGGGCUUCCCUUGCUGAGGUGGAAUCAGGACUGGAGGAUUCACCAAAUAAUUCUUGAUUUCAUCCAAGGCCAAUUGUUGUUCCUUCCCCCAAACGAAUUCUUGAUCAGCUUUCAACUUAAGCAAAGGACUGAAAGCACGAAUUUUACCAGAUAAAUUAGAUAUAAAUCUCCUGAUAAAAUUUACCUUGCCAAUCAAGGACUGGAGCUCAGUCUUGUUGGUAGGAGCAAAUAUUUUGUUGAUGGCAUCAAUGGAUCUUCGACUGAUCUCAAUCCCCCUCUGAUGCACCAUGAAACCAAGGAAUUAUCCUGCUGAUACACCAAAUGCACAUUUAUUGAGAUUCAUCUUCAAACCAUGCUUCCUUGUGCAUUCCAACUCCUUUCGCAAAUUGGCAAGAUGCUUUGUGAAGUCUCCAGACUUAACCACCACAUCAUCAAUAAAAAUUUCCACCAGCUUACCGAUGAACUCAUGAAAUAUAAAAUUCAUGGCUCUCUGAUAAGUAGCACCAGCAUUCUUCAAACCAAAGGUCAUGACUAUCCAUUCAAACAACCCAACAUGACCAGGACAUCUGAAUGCAGUCUUUGGAAUAUCUUCUUCAGCCAUGAAUAUUUGAUUGUAUCCUGCAUUGCCAUCCAUAAAGCUGAUAAUCCGAUGCCCGGCUGCAGCAUCAACUAGCAGAUCGGCAACUGGCAUUGGGUAACCAUCCAUCGAUGUAGCUUUAUUAAGAUUCCUGAAAUCAAUGUAGACCCGAAGCUUCCCAUUUUUCUUGUAUACUGGAACCACAUUGGAAAUCCACUCGGCAUACCGACAUUGCCGAAUAAAUUUAGCUUCAAUCAGUUUGGUUAUUUUGGCCUUAAUAUCAGGAAGAAUAUUAGGAUUACAUCGGCGAGCUGGCUGCUGAUGUGACCGAAAUCCAGACUUGAUAGGCAACCGAUGUUCAAUAAUCGAUAGUUCCAAACCAGGCAUCUCAGUAUAAUCCCAAGCAAAGCAUUCUUUAUAUUCCUUUAACAAAUCAGUUAACUGUUGCUUACACUCAGAACUUAACUUAGCACUAAUAAAAGUAGGCCUAGGUUUAUCACCACUCCCUAUAUCUACUUCUACCAGAUCAUCGGCCGAUGUGAAUCCCUGGCCUAACUUUCCAUCAUCGGCGAACCUAUCCAUUAAAAACCUUCGUCAGAACCGACUGCUUGGAUCGGUGGAAUUUCAUAAUCGGCAACUUUGAGGAAAUCCUUUUCCCAAACUUCUCCUAAAAUACACCUAGUCCUUUCAUAGGUAUCUGCCUCUGCCGAUGCAAUGACAUAUGAAGAGUCUCCCGGGACAAUCUCAAUCUUGUCGCCUACCCACUAAACCAAGCAUUGGUGCAUUGUAGACGGGAUGCAGCAGUUGGCGUGAAUCCAAUCUCUUCCUAGCAGCAAGUUAUAAGCACCUUUUCCACUGAUUACGAUGAAGGUUGUCGGCAAGGUUUUGCUGCCGAUGGUGAACUCAACGCAUAUUGCCCCCAUAACUGGAGACACAUUGCCCUCAAAGUCUUUAAGCAUCAUAUCAGUCUUGGUUAAAUCCUGAUCCCCCUUUCCAAGCUUCCGAUACACUGCGUAUGGCAUAAUAUUGAUAGCAGCUCCACCAUCGAUUAGAAUCUUGGUCAUCGGCUGACCAUCAACCCUUCCUUUUACAAAAAGAGCCUUAAGAUGUUGCCUUUCAUCAUCGGCAGGCUUUUCAAAGAUAGCUGUCAUCGGAUCUAGAGCCAACUGAGCUAUCUGGUCGGAAAACUCCAACCCAUCAUCACUGGAUGGUGCAAGGAACUCCAUCGGCAACAUACAUACCAUAUUGACAUCUGCCGAUGGACCUUUCCCCUUAGGAUCUGAUUGUUGCUGAUCCCUAGACUAGCCAGAGUUCUCGCCCUUGCUUAGCUCUUCUCGCCUUUCGCGCUGCAGUCUUCUUUUUUGUGUCCUGGUCAACCCUUCUGGACACCAUGGAGGAAGUUGCUGCUGCCUUACCGAUGGGCGAUGAUUUUCCCUUGACUCCAUCCGGUAAGUAUUGGCAUCCCUGCAAAGUAUGAACUCAUCGGGAACUCGAGCAUUAGCCAUCUCUUUAAGUUCUUCCCGGUUCCUAGGAAAAUAUCCAACACGAUUGCCGAGCCUAUCGUGCACACUGAGCCUGCCCCCAAUCGAUUGCGAACGGACGCUCUCCCCCUAAUCGGCCCAUUAAAUCGCCGAUCGUCAUCAUGAUAGCGCCGAUCAGAUCUGUCGUACCGAUCAUAACCAUUGCACUCAGGACAGCCUCUGACAGUGGGUAGCUUGAUAUUUUCCUCCCAACAGUGGAUGAAGAAUGGACAAUUCCAAUGAUCCCUAUGCCGAUUCCACUCUUGUCGACGUCUUUCUUCUUCCCGACGAUAAUCUUCCUGCUGUCGCUGAUACCGAUCCUCAUGUUGCUGCCAAGUCUCCCGAGGCCUUUUGUGAGUUAUUACGAUACCAGAUCGGGGAAGCCUUCCUGAGUUAGUCCCCUCCUAAAUCAAACCUUUCCCUUUCGCAUCGGCAGUAGUGAUUUGAUGUUGAGGAUCCACCGAUGCACUUCUUUCAGCUGCUUCCAAUGUUAAGACCUUGGCCUUUCCCUUAGCAUCCAGCAUGUUUGUUGCGAAAGGAUGUUGAUCAAUCUUCAUUGGCUUCUGAGUUUUGGAGCUGUCAAACUUGAUUCUUCCAGACUCUAUAGCCGAUUGCAGCUGUUGCCUAAAAACUUUGCACUCAUUGGUGCUGUGAGAAGUCACAUUGUGCCAUUUGUAUUACUUCAUCCUUUUUAAUUCUUCAGCCGAUGGGAUUACAUGAUUGGGUGACAAUUUGAUUUGACCUUCCUGAAGUAGAAAGUCAAAUAUCCUAUCGGCCUUAGUGAUGUCAAACGCGAACUUUUCUGGCUCUUUGUGUCCAAAAGGACAAGACAUCGGCUUCUUAUUUUUUACCCAUUCUGCUAAGUCAAUGACUGGUUCCUCAUCAGAGUCCGAGCUUGCUGCUUUAUCAACGAAGGUGACCUUUUUAUUCCAUGCUCUCUUGGAUUCAAAAGGCUUGAUAUCUUGAUCAGAAAUCCUCUGCACCAAAUGACUUAAGCUUUCAAACUCCUGGGAUGCGUACUUAUCCCUGAUAUGUGGCAACAAGCCUUGGAAAGCCAAAUCGGCUAGCUGCCGAUCAUCUAGAACCAGGCUAUAGCAUUUGUUCUUGACUUUCCGUAUCCUCUUCACAAAACUUUCAACCGAUUCAUCAUUGCGUUGCUUCAAUUUGACCAAAUCAGUGAUCUUCUUCUCAUGGACUCCAGAAAAGAAAUAUUUGUGGAACUGCUUUUCUAGAUCGGCCCAAGUAAUUACUGAGUUGGGAGGUAAUGAUAUGAACCAGGUGAAAGCCGAUCCAGAUAAUGAUGACGAGAACAAGCGAACCCUUAACUCGUCUCUCUUAGCGGCUUCUCCGCACUGGAUGAUGAAUCUGUUGACAUGCUCCAUGGUUGAUGUAUCAUCCUGUCCUAAAAACUUAGUAAAAUCCGGCACUUUGUACUGAUUUGGAAGCGGGAUUAAAUCAUAUGCAGGAGGAUACAGUGUCUGAUAAGAGUAAGUAUUGACUUUGGGUUUUAUCCCAACUGGUCUUUCAUUACUUCAGUAACCUUAUCGGCCCAAUAAGCAUCAGCAUCUUGCCGAUGAGGCGGUUGGGGAUCUGGCAUCUGCUGGUAAGCUUCCACGUGUCUGUGCGGUGUACGAUCUGCAUGGAACAUCGGGUUAAUCAUUUGGCCACCCAUCUGCUGACCACCAAACUAUUGCCCGCCGAUCUGCUGUCCGCCGAUCUGCUGCCCAAGAUUCAUCCACUGGUUGGGCAACCCUUGAUUCUGGAAUCUGGGGUGGAUCUGGCCUUGUUGAAACCCUGGAGCCUGAUGAUUCUGUUGGGGCAUUUGCGGAAAGACUUGCUGCCCAAGCCAUCCACUAUUAGCGUUCAUCGGCAUAGGUCCUGCCGAUGACUGGUAAUUGGGCAUCAUCAUCGAAUUGACAUACCCUGGCUGAGUCAUAAACCUCUGUUGCAUCAGCAUUGAGUCUGCCGAUGCGUUAGUCAUCUGGAACGUUGGAGCUUGAGAAUUCCCAGUGUAAGGCCUUGCAGUAGUAGUUGUAGUAUACUGGGGACUCUGAUUCAUCGACAUAUUUGGAGGUGCCGAUGCCAUAGGAGCCUUGCCUCUCAUAUCAGCCGCCUGAGAUGUGCCAGGUGUCUUCAACGUGAACUCUGGGGGCAUACCAAAACCCCACCAAUUAGGAGGAGGAACCGAUCCCGACAUUGCCGAUGCCAAUAGAUCUGUAGCAAUCUUGAUCUGCCCGUCUGAAGUUGGUGGAUUAGUCAUCAUCGGCGUAGAUUGCGCAUUAGUGACUCCUAACGUGCUUGGAGGAACGGUAGUUUGUGUGCCCGCAGCGGCUGUAGCAGCCGACGGAGCUGUGACCACCGGAGAUCCUGGCUGAUGUUGAGAAGGGCCCACAUAAUCUGGUGGCAACUGUCCUUCUUUGAAAGUUCUAGCCACGGCAUUGAAAACCGUAUUGGACAGCACGCCAGCUUGAUUGAUCAGUGCACGGUUAAUAGCACUAUCAACCAUGUCUUGGAGUUUACCAGGAUUGGCUUCAAAAGUAACCUGCCGAGGCAUCGGCAGUGCUUCCUUCUGGAUUACUUCGCCGCUCCUGUUGAUACUGAAGGAUCUCAAAUAUUGCUGCUUGUAAUCCUCUAUGGCUUUUGCAAUAGCUUGCUUUUGCUCAUCCUUGAGAUUGGCUUCCGUCACGGGGAUGACGUUCUCCUGAUCGAACUCUGUAGUCGACAUGUCGAUCUUGAUCUUGAAUCUGUCCCACUGGGCGUGCCAAAAGAUGUAUUGAUGCAAAAGUUAAUCUGCAAACACAAAGGGCUAAUACCCGAUUUAAACGUUAAGGCGUGCCAGCCGAUUUGACCUUACUAUCGGCAAAGGUGGUAACUUGAAUAGUUUGGUCCCGACAACAGCAAUGUGCCCGGAUGGCACGGCCAAGAGGUAUUCACGCGGAACUUGAGAAUACGCCGAGCUUAAGUCGACGAACUCCUAAGAACUCGUAAUGAAAAGAGAAAAUAUGACGAAGUCGUCGAAAAAGUAGAUGCUGGAAUAUCAGUAGAAACUUGUAUUUGAUUGAUUGAUUGCUUCUGUUUACAAGGUCCUAGGGUCUACAUCUAUACCCUGCUCAAAGAGCUACAACCAGACACGACUAGAACUCGAAUUCUAAAUUUAAACAGAAUCCGUGUACAAAAUGAUUUAAAUAACUAAGGAAAACAUAAAACUAUCCUUAUGUGACAAACUGGGGCACCACCACGGAUCAAUCGGCAACCUUCAAACCUUCCUUCCAUGUCUUCGACAAACUCCCCAUCGGCUACGGUUAACCCCGGCCAUCGGCAUAAACACAUCACUAUCCACGGAUUUAGCCAUAUUCAGCUGUCUCCACGUCGGCAACUGCCCUCAUCGGCAACCCUUCUACAGACCAGUAACCAUUACUCUGCCUUGCCGAUCCACACUCUACCGAUCCUGGAUACAUGUCCAAAAACGGUGCCAACACUUCUAAACAACACGAUCCGAAACCCUGCAAUUUUUUUAUUAUUUCAAUAUUUUUCUUUUACUAGGAGCACUAAAAAAGUAAACAUAGAAAAUUUGAGCUUAAACAAGUGAAAGACGUGGUCUGCAGAAUUUUCUCAAGAUUGCAAAAAAUGUGAAAAAGACUUCACGAGGUGAAAACUCAAACUUCGGAGGCAAAUUUGGAGAUUCUUAAAUUUUCAAACCUGCCCAAGGCAGGGACAGACAUAUCUGAAUUUUUUUUUGAUCAUUUUUUACUUAUGGAAAAUUGAAAUUGGAGUUCGUAUGCAAAAGUUUUGCCUGUUUUACGAACGGACUAUGAAUUAGAGGACAAAAUGGUCCGAAAGUGGGAAAAAUUUCCCGCGGUGGCUAGAAAUCGAUGGAAAACGGUGGGGAAAACACACGAACUGGACUCUAACAAGACCUAACUAACAACAAGACAUAGACCAAGACACAAACUCAACACUGCAGACUCUAAAGCUGAAAUAUGCAAAGACUAUGGCGCGGAAGGGUUGUAGGACAGGAAAACGAUAUGGCACUGGACAUAUGGGAUGAACAUAAGAACACUCGAAACUAAGGGUAGAUGUGAACCUAACGGUAUACCUAAAGCUUUGAUUACCACUUGAUGAGAACAAGGGUGGCCCGAUCUUCCAAAAGGUUCUGGUAACUCUCGAUUUGGUGGAGACGAGACACAAAUCGAUACGGAUUCCGAACAACACGAUCCGAAAUCCUGCAUUUUUUUAUUUCUUUGAUAUUUUUCUUUUACUUAGGAGCAAUAAAGAAUUAACCACAGAAAAUUUGAGCUUAAACAAGCGAAAGACAUGGCCUGCAGAAAUUUUUGAAGAUUGUAAAAAAUGUGAAAAAAAAUUCACGAGGUGAAAACUAAAACUUCGGAGGUGAAUUUCAAGAUUCUAGAAUUUUCAAACCCACCAAUGGCGGAGACAGACAGAUCCGAAUUUUUUUUCUAAUUGAUUUUUAUAUAUGGAACAUUGAAAUCGGAGUUCGUAUGCGAAAGUUAUCUCUGUUUUACAAAUGGACUCCUAAUUAGAGGACAAAACAGUCCGAAAGCGGGAAAAAUUUUGCGGCGGUGGCUAGAAAUUGAUGGAAACGGUGGGGAAAAAUACACGAACUGGACUCUAACAAGACCUAACCAGCAACAAGACCUCGAACAGGACACAAACUCAAAACUGCGGACUCUGAACUGAAAUAUGCCAAGGCUAUGACGCGGAAGGGUUGUAGGACAGGAAAACAAUAUGGAAGUGGACUUAUGGGUUGAACAUAAGAACACUCGAAACUAAGGGUAGAUGUGAACCUAAUGGUAUACCUGAAGCUUUGAUUACCACUUGAUGAGAACAAAGGUGGCCCGAUCUUGCGAAAGGAUCUGGUAACUCUCGAUUUGGUGGAGACGAGACACAAAUCGAUCCGGCUUUCGAACAACACGAUCCGAAAUCCUGCAAUUUUUUUUAUUUCUUUGAUAUUUUUCUUUUACUUAGGAGCAAUAAAGAAGUAACCACAGAAAAUUUGAGCUUAAACAAGUGAAAGACGUGGCCUGCAGAAAUUUUUGAAGAUUGCAAAAAAUGUGAAAAAAAUUCACGAGGUGAAAACUAAAACUUCGGACGUGAAUUUGAAGAUUCUAAAAUUUUCAAACCCACCAAUGGCGGAGACAGACAGAUCCGAAUUUUUUUUCUAAUUGAUUUUAUAUAUGGAACAUUGAAAUCGGAGUUCGUAUGCGAAAGUUAUGGCUAUUUUACAAAUGGACUCCGAAUUAGAGGACAAAACAGUCCGAAAGCGGGAAAACUUUUGCGGCGGUGGCUAGAAAUUGAUGGAAACGGUGGGAAGAAAUACACGAACUGGACUCUAACAAGACCUCACCAGCAACAAGACCUCGACCAGGACACAAACUCAAAACUGUGGACUCUGAACUAAAAUAUGCAAAGGCUAUGGCGCGGAACGGUUGUAGGACAGGAAAACAAUAUGGAAGUGGACUUAUGGGAUGAACAUAAGAACACUCAAAACUAAGCAUAGAUGUGAACCUAAUGGUAUACCUAAAGCUUUGAUUACCACUUGAUUAGAACAAGGGUGGCCCGAUGUUGUGAAAGGAUCUGGUAACUCUCGAUUUGGUGGAGAUGAGACACAAAUCGAUCCGGCUUUCAAACAACAUGAUCCGAAAUCUUGCAAUUCUAUUUUGAUAUUUUUCUUUUCUUAGGAGCAGUAAAGAAGUAACCAUAGGAAACUUGAGCUUAAACAAGUGAAAGACGUGGCCUGCAGAAAUUUCUGAAGAUUGCAAAAAAUGUGAAAAAAAAACUUCACGAGAUUCUGGUAACUCUCGAUUUGGUGGAGAUGAGACACAAAUCGAUCCGGCUUCUAAACAACACAAUCCGAAACCCUGCAAUUGUUUUAUUUUUUUUGAUAUUUUUCUUUUACUAGGAGCACUAAAGAAGUAACCACAAAAAAUUUGAGCUUAAACAAGUGAAAGACGUGGUCUGUAGAAUUUUCUGAAGAUUGUGAAAAAUGUGAAAAAAACUUCACGAGGUAAAAACUCAAAAUUAUGAGGCGAAUUUGGAGAUUCUAAAAUUUUCAAACCUGCCUAUAGCGGGGACAAACAGAUCCAAAAUUUUUUCUUAUCGAUUUUGAUAUAUGGAACAUUGAAAUCGGAGUUCGUAUGCGAAAGUUAUGGCUGUUUUACGUACGGACUCCGAAUUAGAGGACAAAAUGGUCCGAAAGUGGGAAAAAUUUGCGGCGAUGGCUAGAAAUUGAUGGAAAUGGUGGGAAAAAAUACACGAAUUGGACUCUAACAAGACCUAACCAGCAACAAGAUCUCGACCAAGACACAAACUCAACACUACGGACUCUGAAAGUGAAAUAUGCAAAGGCUAUGUCGCGGAAGAGUAGUAGGACAGGAAAACUAUAUGGCACUGGACUUAUGUGAUGAACAUAAGAACACUCGAAACUAAGGGUAGAUGUGAACCUAACGGUAUACUUAAAGCUUUGAUUACCACUUGAUGAGAACAAGGGUGGCCCAAUCUUUCGAAAGGUUCUGGUAACUCUCGAUUUGGUGGAGAUGAGACACAAAUCGAUCCGGCUUCCGAACAACACGAUCCGAAACCCUGCAAUUUUUUUAUUAUUUCGAUAUUUUUCUUUUAAUAGGAGCACUAAAAAAGUAACCACAGAAAAUUUGAGCUUAAACAAGUGAAAGACAUGGUCUGCAGAAUUUUCUCAAGAUUGCAAAAAAUGUGAAAAAAACUUCACGAGGUGAAAACUCAAACUUCGGAAGCGAAUUUGGAGAUUCUUAAAUUUUCAAACCUGCCCAUGGUAGGGACAGUCAUAUCUGAAAUUUUUUCCUGAUCGUUUUUUAUUUAUGGAACAUUGAAAUCGGAGUUCGUAUGCAAAAGUUUUGCCUGUUUUACGAACGGACUAUGAAUUAGAGGACAAAAUGGUCCGAAAGUGGGAAAAAUUUGCCGCGGAGGCUAGAAAUCGAUGGAAAACGGUGGGGAAAACACACGAACUGGACUCUAACAAGACCUAACCAACAACAAGACAUAGACCAAGACACAAACUCAACACUGCAGACUCUAAAGCUGAAAUAUGCAAAGGCUAUGGCGCGGAAGGGUUGUAGGACAGGAAAACAAUAUGGCACUGGACAUAUGGGAUGAACAUAAGAACACUCGAAACUAAGGGUAGAUGUGAACCUAACGGUAUACCUAAAGCUUUGAUUACCACUUGAUGAGAACAAGGGUGGCCCGAUCUUCCAAAAGGUUCUGGUAACUCUCGAUUUGGUGGAGACGAGACACAAAUCGAUACGGAUUCCGAACAACACGAUCCGAAAUCCUGCAUUUUUUUAUUUCUUUGAUAUUUUUCUUUUACUUAGGAGCAAUAAAGAAUUAACCACAGAAAAUUUGAGCUUAAACAAGCGAAAGACAUGGCCUGCAGAAAUUUUUGAAGAUUGUAAAAAAUGUGAAAAAAAAUUCACGAGGUGAAAACUAAAACUUCGGAGGUGAAUUUCAAGAUUCUAGAAUUUUCAAACCCACCAAUGGCGGAGACAGACAGAUCCGAAAUUUUUUUCUAAUUGAUUUCUAUAUAUGGAACAUUGAAAUCGGAGUUCGUAUGCGAAAGUUAUCUCUGUUUUACAAAUGGACUCCUAAUUAGAGGACAAAACAGUCCGAAAGCGGGAAAAAUUUUGCGGCGGUGGCUAGAAAUUGAUGGAAACGGUGGGCAAAAAUACACGAACUGGACUCUAACAAGACCUAACCAGCAACAAGACCUCGACGAGGACACAAACUCAAAACUGCGGACUCUGAACUGAAAUAUGCCAAGGCUAUGACGCGGAAGGGUUGUAGGACAGGAAAACAAUAUGGAAGUGGACUUAUGGGUUGAACAUAAGAACACUCGAAACUAAGGGUAGAUGUGAACCUAAUGGUAUACCUGAAGCUUUGAUUACCACUUGAUGAGAACAAAGGUGGCCCGAUCUUGCGAAAGGAUCUGGUAACUCUCGAUUUGGUGGAGACGAGACACAAAUCGAUCCGGCUUUCGAACAACACGAUCCGAAAUCCUGCAUUUUUUUUAUUUCUUUGAUAUUUUUCUUUUACUUAGGAGCAAUAAAGAAGUAACCACAAAAAAUUUGAGCUUAAACAAGUGAAAGACGUGGCCUGCAGAAAUUUUUGAAGAAUGCAAAAAAUGUGAAAAAAAUUCACGAGGUGAAAACUAAAACUUCGGACGUGAAUUUGAAGAUUCUAAAAUUUUCAAACCCACCAAUGGCGGAGACAGACAGAUCCGAAAUUUUUUUCUAAUUGAUUUUAUAUAUGGAACAUUGAAAUCGGAGUUCGUAUGCGAAAGUUAUGGCUAUUUUACAAAUGGACUCCGAAUUAGAGGACAAAACAGUCCGAAAGCGGGAAAAAUUUUGCGGCGGUGGCUAGAAAUUGAUGGAAACGGUGGGAAGAAAUACACGAACUGGACUCUUACAAGACCUAACCAGCAACAAGACCUCGACCAGGACACAAACUCAAAACUGUGGACUCUGAACUAAAAUAUGCAAAGGCUAUGGCGCGGAACGGUUGUAGGAUAAGAAAACAAUAUGGAAGUGCACUUAUGGGAUGAACAUAAGAACACUCAAAACUAAGCAUAGAUGUGAACCUAAUGGUAUACCUAAAGCUUUGAUUACCACUUGAUUAGAACAAGGGUGGCCCGAUGUUGUGAAAGGAUCUGGUAACUCUCGAUUUGGUGGAGAUGAGACACAAAUCGAUCCGGCUUUCAAACAACAUGAUCCGAAAUCUUGCAAUUCUAUUUUGAUAUUUUUCUUUUCUUAGGAGCAGUAAAGAAGUAACCAUAGGAAACUUGAGCUUAAACAAGUGAAAGACGUGGCCUGUAGAAAUUUCUGAAGAUUGCAAAAAAUGUGAAAAAAAAAACUUCACGAGAUUCUGGUAACUCUCGAUUUGGUGGAGAUGAGACACAAAUCGAUCCGGCUUCUAAACAACACAAUCCGAAACCCUGCAAUUGUUUUAUUUUUUUUGAUAUUUUUCUUUUACUAGGAGCACUAAAGAAGUAACCACAAAAAAUUUGAGCUUAAACAAGUGAAAGACGUGGUCUGUAGAAUUUUCUGAAGAUUGCGAAAAAUGUGAAAAAAACUUCACGAGGUAAAAACUCAAAAUUAUGAGGCGAAUUUGGAGAUUCUAAAAUUUUCAAACCUGCCUAUAGCGGGGACAAACAGAUCCAAAAUUUUUUCUUAUCGAUUUUGAUAUAUGAAACAUUGAAAUCGGAGUUCGUAUGCGAAAGUUAUGGCUGUUUUACGUACGGACUCUGAAUUAGAGGACAAAAUGGUCCGAAAGUGGGAAAAAUUUGCGGCGAUGGCUAGAAAUUGAUGGAAAUGGUGGGAAAAAAUACACGAAUUGGACUCUAACAAGACCUAACCAGCAACAAGAUCUCGACCAAGACACAAACUCAACACUACGGACUGUGAAAGUGAAAUAUGCAAAGGCUAUGGCGCGGAAGAGUAGUAGGACAGGAAAACUAUAUGGCACUGGACUUAUGUGAUGAACAUAAGAACACUCGAAACUAAGGGUAGAUGUGAACCUAACGGUAUACUUAAAGCUUUGAUUACCACUUGAUGAGAACAAGGGUGGCCCAAUCUUUCGAAAGGUUCUGGUAACUCUCGAUUUGGUGGAGAUGAGACACAAAUCGAUCCGGCUUCCGAACAACACGAUCCGAAACCCUGCAAUUUUUUUAUUAUUUCGAUAUUUUUCUUUUACUAGGAGCACUAAAAAAGUAACCACAGAAAAUUUGAGCUUAAACAAGUGAAAGACAUGGUCUGCAGAAUUUUCUCAAGAUUGCAAAAAAUGUGAAAAAAACUUCACGAGGUGAAAACUCAAACUUCGGAAACGAAUUUGGAGAUUCUUAAAUUUUCAAACCUGCCCAUGGUAGGGACAGUCAUAUCUGAAAUUUUUUCCUGAUCGUUUUAUAUUUAUGGAACAUUGAAAUCGGAGUUCGUAUGCAAAAGUUUUGCCUGUUUUACGAAAGGACUAUGAAUUAGAGGACAAAAUGGUCCGAAAGUGGAAAAAAUUUGCCGCGGAGGCUAGAAAUCGAUGGAAAACGGUGGGGAAAACACACGAACUGGACUCUAACAAGACCUAACCUACAACAAGACAUAGACCAAGACACAAACUCAACACUGCAUACUCUAAAGCUGAAAUAUGCAAAGGCUAUGGCGCGGAAGGGUUGUAGGACAGGAAAACAAUAUGGCACUGGACAUAUGGGAUGAACAUAAGAACACUCGAAACUAAGGGUAGAUGUGAACCUAACGGUAUACCUAAAGCUUUGAUUACCACUUGAUGAGAACAAGGGUGGCCCGAUCUUCCAAAAGGUUCUGGUAACUCUCGAUUUGGUGGAGACGAGACACAAAUCGAUACGGAUUCCGAACAACACGAUCCGAAAUCCUGCAUUUUUUUAUUUCUUUGAUAUUUUUCUUUUACUUAGGAGCAAUAAAGAAUUAACCACAGAAAAUUUGAGCUUAAACAAGCGAAAGACAUGGCCUGCAGAAAUUUUUGAAGAUUGUAAAAAAUGUGAAAAAAAAUUCACGAGGUGAAAACUCAAACUUCGGAGGUGAAUUUCAAGAUUCUAGAAUUUUCAAACCCACCAAUGGCGGAGACAGACAGAUCCGAAAUUUUUUUCUAAUUGAUUUUUAUAUAUGGAACAUUGAAAUCGGAGUUCGUAUGCGAAAGUUAUCUCUGUUUUACAAAUGGACUCCUAAUUAGAGGACAAAACAGUCCGAAAGCGGGAAAAAUUUUGCGGCGGUGGCUAGAAAUUGAUGGAAACGGUGGGGAAAAAUACACGAACUGGACUCUAACAAGACCUAACCAGCAACAAGACCUCGACCAGGACACAAACUCAAAACUGCGGACUCUGAACUGAAAUAUGCCAAGGCUAUGACGCGGAAGGGUUGUAGGACAGGAAAACAAUAUGGAAGUGGACUUAUGGGUUGAACAUAAGAACACUCGAAACUAAGGGUAGAUGUGAACCUAAUGGUAUACCUGAAGCUUUGAUUACCACUUGAUGAGAACAAAGGUGGCCCGAUCUUGCGAAAGGAUCUGGUAACUCUCGAUUUGGUGGAGACGAGACACAAAUCGAUCCGGCUUUCGAACAACACGAUCCGAAAUCCUGCAAUUUUUUUUAUUUCUUUGAUAUUUUUCUUUUACUUAGGAGCAAUAAAGAAGUAACCACAGAAAAUUUGAGCUUAAACAAGUGAAAGACGUGGCCUGCAGAAAUUUUUGAAGAUUGCAAAAAAUGUGAAAAAAAUUCACGAGGUGAAAACUAAAACUUCGGACGUGAAUUUGAAGAUUCUAAAAUUUUCAAACCCACCAAUGGCGGAGACAGACAGAUCCGAAAUUUUUUUCUAAUUGAUUUUAUAUAUGGAACAUUGAAAUCGGAGUUCGUAUGCGAAAGUUAUGGCUAUUUUACAAAUGGACUCCGAAUUAGAGGACAAAACAGUCCGAAAGCGGGAAAAUUUUUGCGGCGGUGGCUAGAAAUUGAUGGAAACGGUGGGAAGAAAUACACGAACUGGACUCUAACAAGACCUAACCAGCAACAAGACCUCGACCAGGACACAAACUCAAAACUGUGGACUCUGAACUAAAAUAUGCAAAGGCUAUGCCGCGGAACGGUUGUAGGAUAGGAAAACAAUAUGGAAGUGGACUUAUGGGAUGAACAUAAGAACACUCAAAACUAAGCAUAGAUGUGAACCUAAUGGUAUACCUAAAGCUUUGAUUACCACUUGAUUAGAACAAGGGUGGCCCGAUGUUGUGAAAGGAUCUGGUAACUCUCGAUUUGGUGGAGAUGAGACACAAAACGAUCCCGCUUUCAAACAACAUGAUCCGAAAUCUUGCAAUUCUAUUUUGAUAUUUUUCUUUUCUUAGGAGCAGUAAAGAAGUAACCAUAGGAAACUUGAGCUUAAACAAGUGAAAGACGUGGCCUGCAGAAAUUUCUGAAGAUUGCAAAAAAUGUGAAAAAAAAACUUCACGAGAUUCUGGUAACUCUCGAUUUGGUGGAGAUGAGACACAAAUCGAUCCGGCUUCUAAACAACACAAUCCGAAACCCUGCAAUUGUUUUAUUUUUUUUGAUAUUUUUCGUUUACUAGGAGCACUAAAGAAGUAACCACAAAAAAUUUGAGCUUAAACAAGUGAAAGACGUGGUCUGUAGAAUUUUCUGAAGAUUGCGAAAAAUGUGAAAAAAACUUCACGAGGUAAAAACUCAAAAUUAUGAGGCGAAUUUGGAGAUUCUAAAAUUUUCAAACCUGCCUAUAGCGGGGACAAACAGAUCCAAAAUUUUUUCUUAUCGAUUUUGAUAUAUGGAACAUUGAAAUCGGAGUUCGUAUGCGAAAGUUAUGCCUGUUUUACGAACGGACUCCAAAUUAGAGGACAAAAUGGUCCGAAAGUGCGAAAAAUUUGCGGCGAUGGCUAGAAAUUGAUGGAAAUGGUGGGGAAAAAUACACGAAUUGGACUCUAACAAGACCUAACCAGCAACAAGAUCUCGACCAAGACACAAACUCAACACUACGGACUCUGAAAGUGAAAUAUGCAAAGGCUAUGGCGCGGAAGAGUAGUAGGACAGGAAAACUAUAUGGCACUGGACUUAUGUGAUGAACAUAAGAACACUCGAAACUAAGGGUAGAUGUGAACCUAACGGUAUACUUAAAGCUUUGAUUACCACUUGAUGAGAACAAGGGUGGCCCAAUCUUCCGAAAGGUUCUGGUAACUCUCGAUUUGGUGGAGAUGAGACACAAAUCGAUCCGGCUUCCGAACAACACGAUCCGAAACCCUGCAAUUUUUUUAUUAUUUCGAUAUUUUUCUUUUACUAGGAGCACUAAAAAAGUAACCACAGAAAAUUUGAGCUUAAACAAGUGGAAGACAUGGUCUGCAGAAUUUUCUCAAGAUUGCAAAAAAUGUGAAAAAAACUUCACGAGGUGAAAACUCAAACUUCGGAAGCGAAUUUGGAGAUUCUUAAAUUUUCAAACCUGCCCAUGGUAGGGACAGUCAUAUCUGAAAUUUUUUCCUGAUCGUUUUUUAUUUAUGGAACAUUGAAAUCGGAGUUCGUAUGCAAAAGUUUUGCCUGUUUUACGAACGGACUAUGAAUUAGAGGACAAAAUGGUCCGAAAGUGGGAAAAAUUUGCCGCGGAGGCUAGAAAUUGAUGGAAAACGGUGGGGGAAAACACACGAACUGGACUCUAACAAGACCUAACCAACAACAAGACAUAGACCAAGACACAAACUCAACACUGCAUACUCUAAAGCUGAAAUAUGCAAAGGCUAUGGCGCGGAAGGGUUGUAGGACAGGAAAACAAUAUGGCACUGGACAUAUGGGACGAACAUAAGAACACUCGAAUCUAAGGGUAGAUGUGAACCUAACGGUAUACCUAAAGCUUUGAUUACCACUUGAUGAGAACAAGGGUGGCCCGAUCUUCCAAAAGGUUCUGGUAACUCUCGAUUUGGUGGAGACGAGACACAAAUCGAUACGGAUUCCGAACAACACGAUCCGAAAUCCUGCAUUUUUUUAUUUCUUUGAUAUUUUUCUUUUACUUAGGAGCAAUAAAGAAUUAACCACAGAAAAUUUGAGCUUAAACAAGUGAAAGACAUGGCCUGCAGAAAUUUUUGAAGAUUGUAAAAAAUGUGAAAAAAAAUUCACGAGGUGAAAACUAAAACUUCGGAGGUGAAUUUCAAGAUUCUAGAAUUUUCAAACCCACCAAUGGCGGAGACAGACAGAUCCGAAAUUUUUUUCUAAUUGAUUUUUAUAUAUGGAACAUUGAAAUUGGAGUUCGUAUGCGAAAGUUAUGUCUGUUUUACAAAUGGACUCCUAAUUAGAGGACAAAACAGUCCGAAAGCGGGAAAAAUUUUGCGGCGGUGGCUCGAAAUUGAUGGAAACGGUGUGGAAAAAUACACGAACUGGACUCUAACAAGACCUAACCAGCAACAAGACCUCGACUAGGACACAAACUCAAAACUGCGGACUCUGAACUGAAAUAUGCCAAGGCUAUGACGCGGAAGGGUUGUAGGACAGGAAAACAAUAUGGAAGUGGACUUAUGGGUUGAACAUAAGAACACUCGAAACUAAGGGUAGAUGUGAACCUAAUGGUAUACAUGAAGCUUUGAUUACCACUUGAUGAGAACAAAGGUGGCCCGAUCUUGCGAAAGGAUCUGGUGACUCUCGAUUUGGUGGAGACGAGACACAAAUCGAUCCGGCUUUCGAACAACACAAUCCGAAAUCCUGCAAUUUUUUUUAUUUCUUUGAUAUUUUUCUUUUACUUAGGAGCAAUAAAGAAGUAACCACAGAAAAUUUGAGCUUAAACAAGUGAAAGACGUGGCCUGCAGAAAUUUUUGAAGAUUGCAAAAAAUGUGAAAAAAAUUCACGAGGUGAAAACUAAAACUUCGGAGGUGAAUUUCAAGAUUCUAAAAUUUUCAAACCCACCAAUGGCGGAGACAGACAGAUCCGAAAUUUUUUUCUAAUUGAUUUUAUAUAUGGAACAUUGAAAUCGGAGUUCGUAUGCGAAAGUUAUGGCUAUUUUACAAAUGGACUCCGAAUUAGAGGACAAAACAGUCCGAAAGCGGGAAAAAUUUUGCGGCGGUGGCUAGAAAUUGAUGGAAACGGUGGGAAGAAAUACACGAACUGGACUCUAACAAGACCUAACCAGCAACAAGACCUCGACCAGGACACAAACUCAAAACUGCGGACUCUGAACUAAAAUAUGCAAAGGCUAUGGCGCGGAAGGGUUCUAGGACAGGAAAACAAUAUGGAAGUGGACUUAUGGGAUGAACAUAAGAACACUCAAAACUAAGCAUAGAUGUGAACCUAAUGGUAUACCUAAAGCUUUGAUUACCACUUGAUUAGAACAAGGGUGGCCCGAUGUUGUGAAAGGAUCUGGUAACUCUCGAUUUGGUGGAGAUGAGACACAAAUCGAUCCGGCUUUCAAACAACAUGAUCCGAAAUCUUGCAAUUCUAUUUUGAUAUUUUUCUUUUCAUAGGAGCAGUAAAGAAGUAACCAUAGGAAACUUGAGCUUAAACAAGUGAAAGACGUGGCCUGCAGAAAUUUCUGAAGAUUGCAAAAAAUGUGAAAAAAAAACUUCACGAGAUUCUGGUAACUCUCGAUUUGGUGGAGAUGAGACACAAAUCGAUCCGGCUUCUAAACAACACAAUCCGAAACCCUACAAUUGUUUUAUUUUUUUUGAUAUUUUUCGUUUACUAGGAGCACUAAAGAAGUAACCACAAAAAAUUUGAGCUUAAACAAGUGAAAGACGUGGUCUGUAGAAUUUUCUGAAGAUUGCGAAAAAUGUGAAAAAAACUUCACGAGGUAAAAACACAAAAUUAUGAGGCGAAUUUGGAGAUUCUAAAAUUUUCAAACCUGCCUAUAGCGGGGACAAACAGAUCCAAAAUUUUUUCUUAUCGAUUUUGAUAUAUGGAACAUUGAAAUCGGAGUUCGUAUGCGAAAGUUAUGGCUGUUUUACGAACGGACUCCGAAUUAGAGGACAAAAUGGUCCGAAAGUGGGAAAAAUUUGUGGCGAUGGCUAGAAAUUGAUGGAAAUGGUGGGGAAAAAUACAUGAAUUGGACUCUAACAAGACCUAACCAGCAACAAGAUCUCGACCAAGACACAAACUCAACACUACGGACUCUGAAAGUGAAAUAUGCAAAGGCUAUGGCGCGGAAGAGUAGUAGGACAGGAAAACUAUAUGGCACUGGACUUAUGUGAUGAACAUAAGAACACUCGAAACUAAGGGUAGAUGUGAACCUAACGGUAUACUUAAAGCUUUGAUUACCACUUGAUGAGAACAAGGGUGGCCCAAUCUUCCGAAUGGUUCUGGUAACUCUCGAUUUGGUGGAGAUGAGACACAAAUCGAUCCGGCUUCCGAACAACACGAUCCAAAACCCUACAAUUUUUUUAUUAUUUCGAUAUUUUUCUUUUACUAGUAGCACUAAAAAAGUAACCACAGAAAAUUUGAGCUUAAACAAGUGAAAGACAUGGUCUGCAGAAUUUUCUCAAGAUUGCAAAAAAUGUGAAAAAAACUUCACGAGGUGAAAACUCAAACUUCGGAAGCGAAUUUGGAGAUUCUUAAAUUUUCAAACCUGCCCAUGGUAGGGACAGUCAUAUCUGACAUUUUUUCCUGAUCGUUUUUUAUUUAUGGAACAUUGAAAUCGGAGUUCGUAUGCAAAAGUUUUGCCUGUUUUACGAACGGACUAUGAAUUAGAGGACAAAAUGGUCCGAAAGUGGGAAAAUUUUGCCGCGGAGGCUAGAAAUUGAUGGAAAACGGUGGGGGAAAACACACGAACUGGACUCUAACAAGACCUAACCAACAACAAGACAUAGACCAAGACACAAACUCAACACUGCAGACUCUAAAACUGAAAUAUGCAAAGGCUAUGGCGCGGAAGGGUUGUAGGACAGGAAAACAAUAUGGCACUGGACAUAUGGGAUGAACAUAAGAACACUCGAAACUAAGGGUAGAUGUGAACCUAACGGUAUACCUAAAGCUUUGAUUACCACUUGAUGAGAACAAGGGUGGCCCGAUCUUCCAAAAGGUUCUGGUAACUCUCGAUUUGGUGGAGACGAGACACAAAUCGAUACGGAUUCCGAACAACACGAUCCGAAAUCCUGCAUUUUUUUAUUUCUUUGAUAUUUUUAUUUUACUUAGGAGCAAUAAAGAAUUAACCACAGAAAAUUUGAGCUUAAACAAGUGAAAGACAUGGCCUGCAGAAAUUUUUGAAGAUUGUAAAAAAUGUGAAAAAAAAUUCACGAGGUGAAAACUAAAACUUCGGAGGUGAAUUUCAAGAUUCUAGAAUUUUCAAACCCACCACUGGCGGAGACAGACAGAUCCGAAAUUUUUUUCUAAUUGAUUUUUAUAUAUGGAACAUUGAAAUCGGAGUUCGUAUGCGAAAGUUAUGUCUGUUUUACAAAUGGACUCCUAAUUAGAGGACAAAACAGUCCGAAAGCGGGAAAAAUUUUGCGGCGGUGGCUAGAAAUUGAUGGAAACGGUGGGGAAAAAUACACGAACUGGACUCUAACAAGACCUAACCAGCAACAAGACCUCGACCAGGACACAAACUCAAAACUGCGGACUCUGAACUGAAAUAUGCCAAGGCUAUGACGCGGAAGGGUUGUAGGACAGGAAAACAAUAUGGAAGUGGACUUAUGGGUUGAACAUAAGAACACUCGAAACUAAGGGUAGAUGUGAACCUAAUGGUAUACCUUAAGCUUUGAUUACCACUUGAUGAGAACAAAGGUGGCCCGAUCUUGCGAAAGGAUCUGGUAACUCUCGAUUUGGUGGAGACGAGACACAAAUCGAUCCGGCUUUCGAACAACACGAUCCGAAAUCCUGCAAUUCUAUUUUGAUAUUUUUCUUUUCUUAGGAGCAGUAAAGAAGUAACCAUAGGAAACUUGAGCUUAAACAAGUGAAAGACGUGGCCUGCAGAAAUUUCUGAAGAUUGCAAAAAAUGUGAAAAAAAAACUUCACGAGAUUCUGGUAACUCUCGAUUUGGUGGAGAUGAGACACAAAUCGAUCUGGCUUCUCAACAACACAAUCCGAAACCCUGCAAUUGUUUUAUUUUUUUGAUAUUUUUCGUUUACUAGGAGCACUAAAGAAGUAACCAUAAAAAUUUUUAGCUUAAACAAGUGAAAGACGUGGUCUGUAGAAUUUUCUGAAGAUUGCGAAAAAUGUGAAAAAAACUUCACGAGGUAAAAACUCAAAAUUAUGAGGCGAAUUUGGAGAUUCUAAAAUUUUCAAACCUGCCUAUAGCGGGGACAAACAGAUCCAAAAUUUUUUCUUAUCGAUUUUGAUAUAUGGAACAUUGAAAUCGGAGUUCGUAUGCGAAAGUUAUGGCUGUUUUACGAACGGACUCCGAAUUAGAGGACAAAAUGGUCCUAAAGUGGGAAAAUUUUGCGGCGAUGGCUAGAAAUUGAUGGAAAUAGUGGGGAAAAAUACACGAAUUGGACUCUAACAAGACCUAACCAGCAACAAGAUCUCGACCAAGACACAAACUCAACACUACGGACUCUGAAAGUGAAAUAUGCAAAGGCUAUGGCGCGGAAGAGUAGUAGGACAGGAAAACUAUAUGGCACUGGACUUAUGUGAUGAACAUAAGAACACUCGAAACUAAGGGUAGAUGUGAACCUAACGGUAUACUAAAAGCUUUGAUUACCACUUGAUGAGAACAAGGGUGGCCCAAUCUUCCGAAAGGUUCUGGUAACUCUCGAUUUGGUGGAGAUGAGACACAAAUCGAUCCGGCUUCCGAACAACACGAUCCGAAACCCUGCAAUUUUUUUAUUAUUUCGAUAUUUUUCUUUUACUAGGAGCACUAAAAAAGUAACCACAGAAAAUUUGAGCUUAAACAAGUGAAAGACAUGGUCUGCAGAAUUUUCUCAAGAUUGCAAAAAAUGUGAAAAAAACUUCACGAGGUGAAAACUCAAACUUCGGAAGCGAAUUUGGAGAUUCUUAAAUUUUCAAACCUGCCCAUGGUAGGGACAGUCAUAUCUGAAAUUUUUUCCUGAUCGUUUUUUAUUUAUGGAACAUUGAAAUCGGAGUUCGUAUGCAAAAGUUUUGCCUGUUUUACGAACGGACUAUGAAUUAGAGGACAAAAUGGUCCGAAAGUGGGAAAAUUUUGCCGCGGAGGCUAGAAAUUGAUGGAAAACGGUGGGGGAAAACACACGAACUGGAUUCUAACAAGACCUAACCAACAACAAGACAUAGACCAAGACACAAACUCAACACUGAAGACUCUAAAGCUGAAAUAUGCAAAGGCUAUGGCGCGGAAGGGUUGUAGAACAGGAAAACGAACGAACACAAGAGCACUCGGAACUAAGGGUAGAUGUGAACUUAAUGGUAUACCUGAAGCUUUGAUUACCACUUGAUGAGAACAAGGGUGGCCCGAUCUUCUGAAAGGUUGUGGUAACUCUCGAUUUGGUGGAGACCAUACACAAAUUGAUACGGCUUCCGAACAACACGAUCCGAAAUCCUACAAUUUUUUUAUUUCUUUGAUAUUUUUCUUUUACUUAGGAGCAAUAAAGAAGUAACCACAGAAAAUUUGAGCUUAAACAAGUGAAAGACGUGGCUUGAAGAAAUUUUUGAAGAUUGCAAAAAAUGUGAAAAAAAAUUCACGAGGUGAAAGCUAAAACUUCGGAGGUGAAUUUGAAGAUUCUAGAAUUUUCAAACCCACCAAUGGCAGAGACAGACAGAUCCAAAAAUUUUUUCUAAUUGAUUUUUAUAUAUGGAACAUUGAAAUCGGAGUUCGUAUGCGAAAGUUAUAGCUGAUUUAAAAAUGGACUCCGAAUUAGUGGACAAAACAGUCCGAAAGCGGGAAAAAUUUUGCGGCGGUGGCUACAAAUUGAUGGAAACGGUGGGGAAAAAUACACGAACUGGACUUUAACAAGACCUAACCAGCAACAAGACCUCGACCAGGACACAAACUCAAAACUGCGGACUCUCAACUAAAAUAUGCAAAGGCUAUGGCGCGGAAGGGUUGUAGGACAGGAAAACAAUAUGGAAGUGGACUUAUGGGAUGAACGUAAGAACACUCAAAACUAAGGGUAGAUGUGAACCUAAUGGUAUACCUGAAGCUUUGAUUACCACUUGAUUAGAACAAGGGUGGCCCGAUCUUGUGAAAGGAUCUGGUAACUCUCGAUUUGGUGGAGACGAGACACAAAUCGAUCCGGCUUUCGAACAACACGAUCCGAAAUCCUGCAAUUUUUUUUAUUUAUUUUUUGAUAUUUUUCUUUUACUUAGGAGCAAUAAAGAAGUAACCACAGAAAAUUUGAGCUUAAACAAGUGAAAGACGUGGCCUGCAGAAAUUUCUGAAGAUUGCAGAAAAAUGUGAAAAAAAACUUCACGAGAUUCCGGUAACUCUCGAUUUGGUGGAGAUGAGACACAAAUCGAUCCGGCUUCUGAACAACACAAUCCGAAAUCCUGCAAUAGUUUUAUUUUUUUUGAUAUUUUUCUUUUACUAGGAGCACUAAAGAAGUAACCACAGAAAAUUUGAGCUUAAACAAGUGAAAGUUGUGGUCUGUAGAAUUUUCUAAAUAGUGCGAAAAAUGUGAAAAAAAACUUCACGAGGUGAAAACUCAAACGUCGGAGGCGAAUUUGGAGAUUCUUAAAUUUUCGAACCUGCCCUUGGCAGGGACAGACAUAUCUGAAAUUUUUUUCUAAUCGUUUUUGAUUUAUGGAACAUUUAAAUCGGAGUUCGUAUGCAAAAGUUUUGCCAGUUUUACAAACGGACUAUGAAUUAGAGGACAAAAUGGUCCGAAAGUGAGAAAAAUUUUCGGCGGUGGCUACAAAUCGAUGAAAAACGGUGGGGGAAAAAACACACGAACCGGACUCUAACAAGUCCUAGCCAGCAACCAGACCUCGACCAUGACACAAACUCAAGACUGCAGGCUCUAAAGCUAAAAUAUGUAAAGGCUAUGGCGCGGAAGGGUUGUAGGACAGGAAAACAAUAUGGCACUGGACAUAUGGGAUGAACAUAAGAGCACUCGAAACUAAGGGUAGAUGUGAACCUAACAGUAUACCUGAAGCUUUGAUUACCACUUGAUGAGAACAAGGGUGGCCCGAUCUUCCGAAAGGUUUUGGUAACUCUCAAUUUGGUGGAGACGAGACACAAAUCGAUCCGGCUUUCGAACAACACGAUCCGAAAUCCUACAAUUUUUUUAUUUCAUUGAUAUUUUUCUUUUACAUAGGAGCAAUAAAGAAGUAACCACCAAUACUUUGACCUCAUACAAGUGGAAGACGUGGCCUGCGGAAAUUUCAAAAGAUUGCGAAAAAUGUGAAAAAAUUCACGAGGUGAAACCUCAAACUUUGGAGGCAAAUUUGGAGAUUCUAGAAUUUUCAAACCCACCAAUGGCGGAGACAGACAGAUCUGAGAUUUUUUUAUUGAUUUUGACAUAUGGAACAUUGAAAUCGGAGUUCGUAUGUGAAAGUUAUGGUUCUUUUACAAACAGACUCCGAAUUAGAGGACAAAACGGUCCGAAAGUGGAAAAUUUUUACUGUGGUGCCUAGAAAUUGAUGGAAACGAUGGGGUAAAAUACACGAACUGGACUCUAACAAGACCGAACCAGCAACGAGACCUCAACCAGGACACAAACUCAACACUGCGGACUCUGAAACUGAAAUAUGCAAAGGCUAUGGCGCGGAAAAUUUGUGGCGGUGGCUAGAAAUUGAUUGAAACGGUGGGGAAAAACACACGAACUAGACUCUAGCAAGUCCUAACCAGCAACAAGACCUCAACCAGGACACAAACUCAACUCUGCGGACGCUGUAACUGAAAUAUGCAAAGGCUAUGGCGCGGAAGGGUUGUAGGACAGGAAAACGAUAUGGCACUAGACUUAUGGGAUGAACAUAGGAACACUCGAAACUAAGGGCCGAUGUCGACCUAACGGUAUACCUGAAGCUUUGAUUACCACUUGAUGAGAACAAGGUUGGCCCGAUCUUCCAAAAGUUUCUGGUAACACUCGAUUUGGUGGAGAUGAGAUACAAAUCGAUCCGGUUUCCGGACAACACGAUCUGAAACCCUGCAAUUUUUUUAUUUUUUUGAUAUUUUUCUUUUACUAGGAGCACUAAAAAAGUAACUACAGAAAAUUUGAGCUUAAACAAGUGAAAGACGUGGUCUGCAGAAUUUUCUGAGGAUUGCGAAAAAUGUGAAAAAAACUUCAUGAGGUGAAAAGUCAAACUUCGGAGGUGAAUUUGGAGAUUCUAAAAUUUUGGAACCUACCUACGGCGGGGACAGACAGAUCCGAAUUUUUUUUUCUUAUUGAUUUUGAUAUAUGGAACAUUGCAAUCGGAGUUCGUAUGCAAAAGUUAUGGCUCUUUUACGAACGGACUCCGAAUUAGAGGACAAAACGGUCCGAAAGUGGGGAAAAUUUGCAGCGGUGGCUAGAAAUUGAUUGAAACGGUGGGGAAAAACACAUGAACUAGAGUCUAGCAAGACCUAACCAGAAACAAGACCUCAACCAGGACACAAACUCAACUCUGCGGACGUUGUAACUGAAAUAUGCAAAGGCUAUGGCGCGGAAGGGUUGUAGGACAGGAAAACGAUAUGGCACUGGACUUAUGGGACGAACAUAGGAACACUCGAAACUAAGGGUAUAUGUGAAACUAACGGUAUACCUGAAGCUUUGAUUACCACUUGAUGAGAACAAGGGUGGCCCUAUCUUCCAAAAGUUUCUGGUAACUCUCGAUUUGGUGGAGAUGAGAUACAAAUCAAUCCAGCUUCAGAACAACACGAUCCGAAACCCUGCAUUUUUUUUAUUUUUUUGAUAUUUUUCUUUUACUAGGAGCACUAAAAAAGUAACCACAGAAAAUUUGAGCUUAAACAAGUGAAAGACGUGGUCUGUAGAAUUUUUUGAAGAUUGCGAAAAAUGUGAAAAAAAACAUCACGAGGUAAAAACUCAAAUUUCGGAGGCGAAUUUGGAGAUUCUAAAAUUUUCAAACCUGCUCUAGGCAGGGACAGACUGAUCCAAAUAUUUUGUCUUAUCGAUUUUGAUAUAUGGAACAUUGCAAUCGGAGUACGUAUGCAAAAGUUAUGGCUCUUUUACGGACGGACUCCGAAUUAGAGGACAAAACGGUCUGAAAGUGGGGAAAAUUUGCGGCGGUGGCUAGAAAUUGAUUGAAACGGUGGGGAAAAACACACGAACUAGAGUCUAGCAAGAUCUAACCAGAAACAAGACCUCAACCAGGACACAAACUCAACUCUGCGGACGCUGUAACUGAAAUAUGCAAAGGCUAUGGCGCGAUAGGUUUGUAGAACACGAAAACGAUAUGGCACUGGACUUAUGGGACGAACAUAGGAACACUCGAAACGAAGUGUAUAUGUGAACCUAACGGUAUACCUGAAGCUUUGAUUACCACUUGAUGAGAACAAGGUUGGCCUGAUCUUCCAAAAGUUUCUGGUAACACUCGAUUUGGUGGAGAUGAGAUACAAAUCGAUCCGGCUUCCGGACAACACGAUCUGAAACCCUGCAAUUUUUUUAUUUUUUUGAUAUUUUUCUUUUACUAGGAGCACUAAAAAAGUAAGUACAGAAAAUUUGAGCUUAAACAAGUGAAAGACGUGGUCUGCAGAAUUUUCUAAAGAUUGCAAAA